CAAUGGGGGGGUCCCUGCCUACUUGGUUAGUUUCUCAGGGGUGGCUCUGCUUGGUUAAUCACCUAUGAGGGGCAAUUUCCUGUUUGGUUACUUUUGUAGGCUUCGGUUGAACUGUGCCACUCUAGCCCUAGUUUUUAGUGUAUUUGUGAACGAUAGUUUUGGGAAUCUUGGUGGAUUGAAUUAGAAAAGCUAUUGGAUGUCUGGGUGACUCAUUCGGAGGUUUCAGUGACUUGACUUUGAUUUCAUAAAUAUGAUUUGAUGUUUGAGAUUUAUAAACUGUGAUUGAUGGUCUGUUUUUAUUGAUUAUCAUAUACGUUGAAUUAUUAUCACUCACACGAGCUUCGCAGCUUAUUCGGGUUGUUGUUUGCCCAGUGCACCAUUCCCAUGGUGUAGGCACUGAAUGUAUAGGUGACAGGCCUAAGUAGACCACGAGAAGUCGGUGGAGGUAGCAUGGCAUAGAUCAGAGCCUUGAAGCGUUUAGGUUACUCCUUUAUCACCCUUGUACUAUUUAUUUUGGGACUCUCUUUUGUGCACCAUAGGCUUGUCUUGGCCUAAUGAGGGCUGUGUAUUUUUGCGUACGAACUUGUAUGUAUCAUGUUGGGGUGACCCCACUAUCAUAUUUAUUUUGGGAUAUUGGUUUUAGUAUUUCCUUCCGUAUCUUACAUUAGAUUUACCAUACUUUACGGUCCCGUGCCACGUGUUGAUCCUUGACGUAUGUCCGGAUCGAGUCGUGACACAAGUCGUCUAUGCUCCCCUAAUGGAUUUCUUCAAGCUGUAUUGAGACUUUAACACUUAUGUAAUUCUUUUUUCUUGCAUAUGUUAAAUUUUAGGAGGUCUUUUUUUUUUCCGGUUUCCUUUGCUCUUAUUGUACAAACUUGAUAUUUAUUUCGGUGAAAUAAAUGCUCACCAACAAACUAAAGUUUUGACUUGUUAGGACUUUGUGGCGCGCAUUAUGGGUCUCACAUACCACACACAUGACAUGUGACUCAUUAAAGUUGGACGAGUCAUGAGUGAUACAUGUCGACAUCUGGCAUAAUGCAGAAGAAUUACCAGAUUAAGUGGAUGGUCAAAACAAUUAAGGAAUUAUCUUUACAUUAACUUUGAUUUAAAUCAGAUAAAAUUAUUAGAUUUAAGUCAAACAUAAAUCAUGCCAAUUAAAUAAUGCAUUUGACCCCUUUUUGAGCAAUAAUCAAAGUUCGGCCAAGUGAAGUGGCAUUUGGUUCACAUUAAAGAUUGAUUCUUUCAUCAACCAAAUUAUCAAAUUAAGGGUGAUUAAACGGCAAGCCCUUAACUUGGUAUUGGAUUUGGCAAGUUAGCAAAUUAGCAAAUGGAAUUGAUUUGAUUAGCCAAUAGAAUUAGAUUUGAUCAGCCAAAUCAUUUAGUCGCCCAGCCAGCUACCAAAUCAAAGGUGAUUGGUCGGCAAAUAAAUUGAUUUGUAAUUGGCUCAAGUUAAAAGGAGACUACUCAGCAAGUAAAUGGAAUUGGAACUGGAUUUGAUUAAAACGAAAUGGUUGGUAAUUGAACCCACCACAUAAAUAGGGUCUUAGUCAGCCAAAUGCAAUUGGCACAAAUGAACUCGGUCCAAAUUAAUACCAAGUUCACUGAUUUGGUUUAAAUUAAUACCAAAUUAAAUCCAUAUUAAGAUUCAAUCAAGACAAAUCAUGGAGACAAAUUCUAUAAAAUCAUAGCUCGAAAAUAAAUUGAUUCAUAGUGACGCAUCGCCUAGCCAAGUUGAGCUUAAUUCAUAGUGACUUUGUAGUAUGGUUUGAGGAGUCGCUUGAUGUUAUUCGAAGUGACAUUGACCAUGAUAUGCACUCUCUUUGAGUUUUCUAAAUAAAAGAUAUUGCAUUCUUUUCAAAAAAUGCAAGGAAUCAUGAAUAAGCCUAUUAAUAUAAUGUCUUCAAACAUACUAACACUCAGACAUCCACACAUCCCUUGGACGCUCAAACACUCCACACACUCAAAAAGCUCUAUGCAUUUUUCGCCACAUUCGUGGAGAACUAUCAAGCACCACUACACAUGUCAGUUCCUCCAUCGCCACAAGCGGCGUUUGUGGAUUCGAGAUCAAGUCACUAUGACUGUUGGAUCAACCACUAUACACAAAUAUUUUGCAUCCCUAGAGAUUGAAUAAGAGAAUCAAAUUUUGUAUCAGAGAUUGUAACCCUAAUUUCUCAUUUAAUACAAACGAUUACUUUGUAUGCGUGUUCUUGUUUUAUUUGUCGCAGGAAUUUCGUGUUUACAAUCGGACUUUUCCACUUUUGUGCAUUUAGGACACAAAUUAGCCUCCCAGACUUAAUUUUUUUUUCUCUCAAAUAUGCGACCUUUCAUCCAAUAUCAUUACAUCCAUAUAAUUCCAUUGUGUUUGAUUAGGCCCUUUAAGGGAAGUGAUUUCUAUAUUUUUUAAAUGGGGAUUAGUUGUGGAGCCGAUUCUACAUCGAAUUUCAACGAUUAGAACCGUUUAUUUUGUAAGUCUCAAUUCAUAGAUCAUUCUUGCAAAAAUUCAAUUCAAUCCGAAACCAUUUACCUAUUUAAUUGUCACAAUGAAAUUUCAUUGUUUCUCAACAAAGUGUUCGUCAAUUUCUUUGAACUCAAUUAGAUAUCUUAAAUGUUUCUGAUUUGACUAAUAUUUUGCAAAGAUAAUCUAAGAGACGCAACUUUAAAAAUAUACGAUUUGGAUUGCUGAAUUCGAUGUGCGGUGAGCCCCACAACUAAUCCUAUUUUUUUUUUCCAUUCCCUUAAAGGUCUCCAUGUUAGAUUACCUAACUUGCGCGAUCCCACAUUCUGCGGUAAAAUUUGUCAAUUUAAGCCCCGUAUAAUAUCAGACGCUUUCUUAUCCGUUUCCUGCCAAUUGCAAAUGUUGAAGGUCGUUUUCCCUGGAAAAUUUGGUAUAUUGUAAGCCUAUACGUAAUAACUGGUACUGACUAAAUAUGUCGCAGAGUCCAGACCAAUUCUCACGUUUUUGAAAACUGGUAAAUAUGUCAACACUGAAACUAUACUAUUUUUAGUUGCCAGAAAUUUUGUGCCUAUUGAAAUGAUGGUCAUUUCUUGACUUGACAUAGAUCAUUUUUUGUUUGGCAUUUUCUAGCUGAUUCAUUAUAUAUGUUAUCAUUCCAAAUAUUAUAAUAAUACAGGUGAACAACAUUAUUGAUAUGUUAUAUAUAUACAUGCUAUAAUAUGAGUAGAUUGAUAACACCGUGUAACGGUGUUAAAGAUACUGCUCGUUACGAUUGAUUGUUUGUUCGUAUAUGCAUUUGUCUACUAUAAAUAACAAAAGGUGUAAAAAUUAUUGCACUCAGAGACACCUUAGCUUCAAAUGGAAAAUCCUUCAACCACUAUACUUGUUGUGGCUUUACUUUGGGUUUCAGUAGUUGCAGCAACAAGAACUAAGCUGCAAUUGAUUGACGACGCUGAUGGUGGCAUUUGCAAAUCAAUGGUGGAGACACAAGGCUAUACUUGCCAAGAACAUAAAGUAAGCAUAAGAAAGUGCAUGCCUUAUUUCUAUCUUUUUAAGAUUACGUUGACACAACAGAAAUCAAAGUUUUUGUGUUUUGUUUUGGAAAUUUUGAUGAGUUCCAGGUAACAGCCAGAGACGGCUACAUCCUCGGCUUGCACAGAAUUCCGAAGGGACGGUCUGGUAAUAAGACGCCAAACAAGGAGCUGCCUGUUUUGUUACAACAUGGGCUUUUAAUGGUUCUUACCUAAUUAAGCAACAUAUUUUUAUCAUGCUUGUAGACAUGUAUACACAUGUGCAAGACAUAGAUGAACUGAUUAAAUAACAAUUGUCUGUGGAAACUGCAGGAUGCGUCAGCAUGGCUACUCAAUCCGCAAGAUCAAGCUUUGGCAUUUAUCUUGGCAGACAAUGGUUUCGAUGUUUGGCUUGCCAACACUCGCGGGACAAAUUCUAGUCGCGGACAUACAUUACUUACUCCUAAUAAUCCUGUUCGUGUUGCCUCAUAAUUGAUCACAUCAUAUCAUGUACGGAUCAUAAUCUUAACUGCAACGUAUCUUUUAUCUUCUGUAAUGUGUAGGCUUACUGGGACUGGUCAUGGGAUGAAUUGGCUGCUUAUGAUCUUCCUGCUUUAUUCGAGUAUGUGAACAAUCAAACAGGACAGAAAUUACACUAUGUUGGUCACUCCUUGGUAAAUAUUCACCUAAUUUGGUCAUAUUUCAAGUUGGAUAAUACUUACUUAGACCCUACAGAUACACCUCUUUGUCCACUUAGUUGUGACUAACAUAUUUUAACCGUAUAAAUUUCCUAGGGAACUUUGACUGCCCUUGCUGCCUUCUCUCAAGAAAAUCUGUUAAACUUGCUAAGAUCAGCUGCUUUGCUUAGCCCGGUUGCUUACAUGGGUCAGAUGUCAUCGCUGUUUCUAAGGAUUCUUAUGAACAUAUUUUUAGCAGAAGUAACACAAAUCAGCGCCUACUCUUUUGCUUUAAAAAAUAUGGGUUUAGAAUUCACUCCUGCAAAAAUAGAAUUAACUGACUAAAAUGUUGUCUUGUUUUAUUUUACAGAAACUCAAAUUGUUGGGUUUGCCUGAAUUUCCAAAUGGAUGAGAUAGCAACUUAAGCAGUUUUGCUUCAGUAGUAUUAAAGACACAUGCAUGCAGACAAUAGCAUAAACUUGAUUAGAUAUUUUGUUUAACAUAUGACACAUUUGUGAAAAAUGACAUCUAUAGCAGUUUGUUCUUCUCAAAAUCUCAACAGUGAGACACAACAACUUGUGAAGUUUAUCUGCAAAACACCAGGCGUUGACUGCUCCGACUUUUUGGCAACUAUUACAGGUUGAGAGGCCAAAAAAACGUUCACACUUUUAUGCAGGGCUUUAAUUUCACGACAAGUGGGAUUCACAAUCUCAGUAGUAACAAUGUUAGGGUUCCUCAUUCACACUUUUAACAUGAAUUUUUUUUUUUGCAACCCAUAUAUAGGCCCAAAUUGCUGCCUCAGUUCUGCAAGCAAAGCUACUUUGUUUAAGAAUUUUCCCCAGUCCACGGCGACAAAGAACAUGAUACAUCUGUCUCAGAGUGAGUCCCAUUCAUUUCCAGCUUUAUCAGUAAUGGCGAGUUAUAUAAGUAGUAAUAUUUGUAUUUAAGUACCCAGAAUUCCUAUCUAAUUAACAAAUUAAUUACAAUUUUAGUGUUUGGUCAUAUCUGUUUAUGGAUUUUGGAUAGUGGUCAGGAUGGGAACCCUAGAAAUGUACGAUUAUGGUCUAGAAGACGCGAACAUGGAACACUACAAGCAGCCUACUCCUCCUGUGUACAACAUGGCGAACAUUCCGAAAGAUGUUCCUCUUUUCCUCAGCUACGGGGGGAGAGAUGCGAUUUCUGAUGUUAAUGACGUGGGGCUUCUGCUUGACAACCUCAAAGAUCAUGACAAGGACAAGCUUGUGGUAGAGUACAGAGAGGAUUAUGCUCAUCUGGAUUUUAUUAUGAGUGUGAAUGCCAAUCAACUUGUGUAUAAUCCCAUACUGGCCUUCUUCAAGCUCCAUUAAUGUUAUGUUUACUAAUAAUCCUUAACUUCAUGGAACCACUGAAGUUAAUUGUUUACUAAACUAUCCGGAACCGCAGCAGGAAUAAUACUAAAUCUAUAUGAGCUGGGUACAAAUUCAAACUUUACAAGCUAUUGUAGUACGCAUCUCCUACAUGUGAGAGUUCUUGUGGUGUAAGUUAACCUGAUUUUUAUCAGGAGUAAAGUACAAAUAAGUCCUUUUGUCACAUCCACAAUCCAUUUUGCAUUCAUAAUAAACACCCAUUUUUUGUUACCAAAGGAACUGGAUCCCCUCCAGACCCAAAGGAAUUGAACUCACUCAUCAAAUGAUCCGGACCAUUGAAAUUUGAUCUAAUGGCUCCAAACAGAGAGCCCUCUAAAAGUUAUAAUAAUUGUAGCCGUUUGAUCAAAUUUCAAUGGCCUGAAUCAUUUGAUUCUUGGACUUAGUUCAUUUGGAUCCGGAGGGAAUCUAGUUCUGUUACCAUAAGUUUAUGCUCAUGAAGAUGAAUCAGCAAAUCCUAUUGAAACCCCACAUAUUGUUGAAUACACCCAACAUACUUAAUACAUCUCACAUUUACUUUUUUAAUUAAAACCUAUCUUAAUACACCCCAUUUAAUUUCCUAUAAUACCCUCACAUCCCACAAUCUCACUAUAUACCUUAUAUUUUCUAUCAGCAGUUUUUUUUACUGCUUUUAUAAUAUGCAAUCAUGUAGAAAAUUAAUCAUGCUAAGGUAUUGAUUCUGGUUGUUUCUUUUCAAUUUUUUACAGAAUCGUAUGAAAUUAAAAGUGUUCAAUAUGCGUUCCUCCAAAAAACCUAACUGAAGUUCCAAAUCUUUCUCGAACUAAAAAACUUGGGCAUAUAAAUCUUUUUUACUGUAAAAGUUUGGUUGAAGUUUCUUCAUUUUUUUCAAUAUCUUUACAAGCUUACUUUUCUUAAACUUGGAGGGUGCACUAGUAUCAAGUAUUUUCCGAAGAUGCCAAGCAAUAUUGAAUUCUGAAGUUUACGUGGCAGUGGUAUAAAGGAGUUGCCUCCAUCAGUUUGGUCUCACCAAAAACUUUCUUCUUUGGAUAUUGGAGAUUGCAAAGAUCUUAAGAAAUUUCCAAACAGUAGUUGUAAGCUGAAGGUCUCCGGUUAUUUUAGUCUAGACUAUUGCUCAUCUGUAGACGAGUUUUCUAAGCUUUCCAGGAAUAUAAGUGUAUUAGAUUUGACUUGGACAUUAAUAGAAGUAUUGCCCAUAUCAUCAAUGGAGCAUCUCAUUAGUCUCACUGCAAUUAAACUGAAUGAUUGCAAAAGAAUCAAUACUAUGAUAUCACUGCCAAUAUUUUGGCGACUGAAAUCGCUAAAACAGUGAAAAUACAAAGCCUUACCUCAUGUAAAGUUUUCGAAAUGUUGAUUUCAUGUUUCAUUCAUCAAGAAUAAUUUUUUCAAUUAACGUGUUUGUAGUUUCAUUAAUUCUACAAUGGAGGAUGAGAGUGGUUUUGUAAGUUGAAGUAGAUAAAUAAACUUGGGAUAUACAUGUGAAAAGUAAUUUGGAUUUUUAUUUUUUGUAAAACCUUAUAAGGUUGAAAUUGUCAUUACACAUUAGAUAUGUAAGUCAUUUCAUAUUAAAUUUUAAUGAGGGGUGUAUUCAACAUAUUGUGGGGUGCUAAUAAAAAAAGCCUAUAUUUACCAUCCAUUCAUUAAUAUGCAAAUAUCCUAGCUAUUGAUAAUGGAUAAAACGAAUUCAUUAAGCCAUAAAUGUGAGUAUUUUUCGGCUUUAGGUUUCUCCUGGCCUCCAUCUGUGCCAGAUACUUUUUUUAAGGGUAAAUUACACAAAAUUACCUUAAUUAUGAGUCGAAUCAAAAUUUCAUAGCCUAUGUUUUAAACAUUGCAAUGUCAUAUCUCAAUUUAUAAAUUUAUUGCAAUGUCAGACAUUCGUUAAGUUUUUUAUCAGUAUAGUUGUUAAAUGAUGACGAGGCAGGAGUAAAGCCCACUCUUUUUUCCAACUGAAAUAUUGAAUUAAUUAAUUUGUUGAUGCACAAAAUCAGUGAGGACUUUGGUACAACAUAAAGUGUUAAGUUUGUGACAUUCGCUAGAUUGCUCCGGUCAAUAGUGUGGAUAAGUAUGUAAAUGGAUAGAGACAGGGAAGCAAACACAAGAUGUACGUGGUUCACCCAGAUUGGCUACAUCCAUGGAGUAGAAGGGUUCUUAUUAAUUGUGAAGGAUUUACACAAGUACAUAGGUUCAAGCUCUCCUUUUGUGAGUACUAGUGAAUGAUUUAGUACAAAUGACAUUAGGAAAUAUUGUGGGAGAUGAUCUCCUUUUAUAGAAGAGUUUCUAGCUUUGUUCUGACAUUGACACGUGUCGUGUUGUGAUUGACUUCUGAUGUUGACACGUGUCGCACAAUGAUUGGCUUCUGAUGUCGACACAUGUCGCAUUGUGAUUGGCCUCCUGGUUAGAGGGAAACUCUUCUGGGUCCUUGACGGUAUAACGUUGACCAGUGCUCAGUAGUUUCAGGAUUGGUCAAGUAUGGUACAAACAGUGCUCCCCUAAGUUCUCGAGUGAGGGAAGCUCCUCGGUUAGGGACUUGCAAGAUCAAAGCCACUGAGUAAUCACAAAACUUCUAAGUACCGAAGUGUGGUAUUGUCUUCACUUACCUUAUCUGUCUCAUAGGUAGAUGUGGCAUCUUCUCUGGAAGUACUCUUCCUCCAUCCAGAGGUGGUAUCUUUAACGGUGGAGAUGCACAAGGUAAUGUAUCAAUUUCACUUGAAGCUUACUUGUAGUUUCAGGCUUGGUCAAGCGCGAUACAAACCAUGUAAUAAGAGUCCCCCAAGUCACCGAGCUAGGAGAUCUGCCGAAAGAGGUGACAGACAAGGUAAACAAUCAGUCCCAGAUCAGAAGUUUGAUUUCGAGUUCUGGCUAAUUGCUCUUAUUCUCCAUAUCUUGUAGGCAGCAUGAAGGAUAAAGAGAAGAAAAAGGAGAAGAAAUGAUAUGAGAUACUUUUACUUUUGAAGAAGUAACUUUCCACAGGUUUAUUUUUGAACUGGGCUGGAGGGUUUUCUGGUUUCCUUCAGUGUAUAAGGCCGACUCAAGAAUUUGAUGGUCAAAACAAGUCCAUCAAAUCUAGAGUACGUUCGACCAUGAUGAUAUGGGAUACUUUUGCUGUUGACAAAGUAGUGGAUGUAUCGACACGUGUUCUGUUACGCUUGUCUCCACAUGCUUCCUUGUAUCCUUCUCACUUGCCCUAUCUGUUCUUCAGGCAGAUGUGGUAUCUUCUCUGGAAGCAUAAGAUGUUGAAGAUGAGUACUCGAGAGCAAUGCCAGGUAAGUAAUCAGGCAAGGGGUUUCAGGCAGUCAGUUCCUGACAGGAAACUUGAUUCCAAAUGCUGACUGAUUGCUCUCUUUCUCCUUGUCUUGCAGGUAAGAACAAAGGAAAAAGAAAAGACAGGGAAAAAGCAUGAUAUGAGAUACUCUUGCUUUUGACCCUGAUGAUAUGAGAUAAUCUUCCUCUAGUGUGACUAGUUUGCAUAGGUAUUAUUGGGGGGAAGAAAGCUGAGUAUUUUGAGAAGCUUCGUUGUGAGUGUCCACUAUAUGUCUGAUUUGUGAAGAACUGAUCAAAGGGGAGAAAGACAUUUGAGUGAACAAGAUGAAGAUUUUAGAGAUAACUUCUAAUAAUGUGUAAAUAAAAUUAAUAACUAAUGUGGGAAAAUGCGUGCAAAACAAAAUUUGGCGCAAAAGAAUCCAUAUACAAAAUUAAUCAUUUGUGCCUUGAUGAGUCAAUUUGGGCAAUUCUGAGCAUGAUAGGAUGACACUAGAUAUUGCCAUUAAUUAUGUUUAAUCAUUCAUCAGUAUAUUGGCCUAAAUUGAAGGCCUAUUUGACAAUAAUUGGUGUCCAUGAAUUUGUCUACUCCAGUAAAAAUUGCAAUAUCUUUGAAAUUUUGAAAUUGAGGCACAUAGUGAAUUGGCUUAAAUUCAACCACUCUACUUCUAUGAGCAACUAGAAUUAAAGCUGCACUCGAUCACCAAAAAUGGAUGUUGGCCUUCGCAAAGGAAUGGUGGAGACAAAAAAGGCUUUACUGGCCAUUAGAACAAGAAUGUUGCAACCCUUAAAUGUUAAUUUGGAGAUGAGAAACUAAUUAAUGACAUGUUUACUUACCUUGAACGUGUAUUGAAAGUAUUCACAUUCAUAACUUUUAUUGACUUUAUUAACACAUACGCAAUAAAAAAAGGAAUGUGGGUCCAACAUCAAAAAUUGUAAUUAUGAAAGUUAAGAAUUGAAUUUUUGAAUGAAAGGAAUCAAAGUUAUUAGGCUAGUAGUUGAUGAUCCAGUUCUCGUUUCAAAUAAGUAACCAUACCAUGAAAAGUUACGACAUUUUUUUAUUACAAACGAUAUUAUUAUUUUAAACUACAAUAAGGAGAGAAGGAAGAUUUGAACUUAAGACGCAGUGCGUUGAAGAGGAAAAACCAUAUCCACAAAGACAAUCCAUCACUUGCAAAUUACUACACUUUGAAUACAACGAUAUGUUUACCACUAAAGGGGUGGGGAAUUGGGCUUGGCCGUAUAAUGAGUCAACCACAAUAAUUUGAUUACGAAUUCGUCAUCUACGGAAGUUGAAUAUAAGACCUUCCAAUUAUAAGUGGAGAUAAAUAUUAUUAGACCGUAAUACUAAGGGACUACUUGGGAUAUUUAAGUGAAGAAUUUGAGUCUGACAAGGGUUAAAGGGUCUUGUUAAUUAGUUAAUGUGUCACAUUAUCAUUUAACUGAUAAAGCUAAAUUUAAAGUCUUUACAAUAAAGUUGCUUCAUCAUAAAAUCUAAAUCAUUAAGACACAGAAUCGGUUGCUAAUCCACCACCAACUAAAUGGCAAACUUUGGCUAUGCAAUUGAUUGAGCUAGAUCCAGCCAUAAAUAUUUUGUUAUUAUUGUGCAUAUAUAUUUGCCUAUAAAAUAAGAAAACAAAAGCACUGAAAAUUUGAAACCGUUGCACCCAGAAACCACUGCGCUCAAAAAUGGCUAACCCUUCAACCACUCUAAUAUUUAUGGCUCUACUUUGUAUUUCAGCAGCAGCAGCAGCGACAAAAAAUAAGCUGUACUCAAUCGAAAAUUCGAAUGUUGGCCUUUGCAAAUCAUUAGUGGAGACACAAGGCUACAUUUGCCAAGAACAUAAAGUAAGUUAUCAGAAUGUGUCUUCCUUGAUUCGAUAUUUUCGGAUCACAUAACCAAUAUGUGACAUCAUAGAUAAAUUCUGUUAUCUUUUGCCAUAGAUCAGCUUUUCGAUGAGUUUCAGGUAACAACAGAAGAUGGCUACAUCCUUGGCCUGCAGAGGAUUCCAAAUGGACGAUCCGGUAAUACGACAGCCGACAAGCUGCCUAUUCUGUUACAACAUGGAUUGUUACUGGUUUGCAUCUAAUCACCAUAUUUUUGAAAUAUAUGUACAAAUAUUGUGCCUGACAUAAAAAUAAAUUGACAAACAUUUUUGUGGCAACAGGAUGCUUCAUCAUGGCUAUUCAACCCGCCGGAAGAAUCUUUGCCAUUUAUCUUGGCUGAUCAUGGUUUUGAUGUCUGGCUUUCCAAUGCUCGUGGGACGAGAUCUAGUCGUGGACACACAUCACUUAGUCCUAAUGAUCCGGUUCGCUUUGCUUUUUGGAAAUGUUGAUCCACAUCAUACCAGCUUAAUUUGCAUCUUAAUCAUGUACUAAUAAUAUCCAACCAAUAAUUUAGGCUUACUAACGCUAAACCCUAAUGUUUUACCCGCUAACACUAUCGUUUGUUAAAAAAUGAAUUAGGCUUACUGGGACUGGUCAUGGGAUGAAAUGGUUGUUUAUGAUCUUCCUACUUCAGUCCAGUACGUCCGUGAUCAAACAGGACAGAAAUUACACUACGUCGGACAUUCCAUGGUAAACAUUUAAAUAACGUUUUUUCGUCUUUACUCCCGGGAAUUUUCAUGUUUUAGAAAUUUAAUUGUUGUACAUUUAAAGGGAACUGACUGAGACUUGAAGCUGUUGAAUUAUAUAGGGAACUUUGGCUGUCCUCGCUGCCUUCUCGGAGAAAAAGCUGUUUAACUUGCUAAGAUCAGCUGCUUUGCUUAGCCCGGUUGCUUAUCUGGGUCAAAUACCCUCACUGAUUUUAAGAACUGCUGCCGAAACAUUUUUAGCAGAAGUAACACAACUUAAUGAACCUUUUUGUUAUUAUAUAUGGAUUCUUAAAAAUCUAUUGUUACAAAUAUAUAAUUUAUGACAAAAAUGCUCUCCUUUUUUUAUUUACAGGAAGUGAAAUUGUUGGGAUUCCCGGAAGUUCCAAACGAGUGAGAUGGCAUUUUACACAAUUUUUGUUUCCGUAACAUAGGCACAGUCUAUUUUUGUUAAAGAAAAUUGGAGUUUUUAAGUGUGUUUUAAAGUUGACAAGAAUGCUUUUUUACAUAGUUUGAAAUAUUAAUCCAUCUGAUUAUCAGUCACUCAAUGGGAAAUUACAUCACUGACAAUUUUUCUGUUCGUACCAAAAAUCCUACAGGCAGAUUAUAAAACUAGUGCAAUCGAUCUGCAGAUCACAGGGAAUUGACUGCUCCGACUUACUGGCAGCUGUCGGAGGUAGUAAUACAAAGCUUGCUCAUGCAUUCACACUUUUAAACUUGAAAUUUUGAUUUGCUCAGCAGAGAUUGAAUUUUUUAUUUGCAAUCUGCAGGCCCAAAUUGUUGCCUCAGUCAUUCAAGUAUAGAUGCUCUCUUUAAGAACCUUCUCCAGCCCACUUCAACAAAGAACCUUAUACAUUUUGCUCAGAGUAAGUCUCUUUGAUUUCCAGGUUCAAUCAUGUGGUAACAAUCUAAAGCACAAUCCAAACUUUAGUAAUAAAACAUCGGAACUUCUCCGUGCAGGACACUGGAUGUAUGGAGAAAACCUACUUCUACUCAAUUUUAUUUUCAAUCCCAUUAAUCGACGAUGUUGAUUAUUAGGGUAUAAAAUGGCUUUUUAGAGCUUUGAUUCUAGAUUUUAAGUAGCCUAAUGCUUGACAUAAACCAAGAAUCUAAGCAAUUAACCAAUCCAAAACUAGAAGUUAAGGUCUAAGCUCUAGUUUAUGAUUGUAUACCCUAGCUAAAACAAAACCAACCAUGUCAAUAAAUGGGAUCAAAGAUGAUGAAAAAAUUUUGAGUAGAAAAUGAUAUUUUCUCAAUGCGUAAUUUCCUGCACAUGAAAAAGACUGAACUUAAAUUUGUAUUGAAACUUUUAGAUGAAAUGCUUAUAUAUGAUGUUUCAAUUCUUUACUUCUUAUUUAUGGAUUUUGAAAAGUGAUCAGGAAAGGAACCAUAGAAAUGUACGAUUACAGUCACGCAUACAUGAACAUGGAACACUACAGGAAGCCUACUCCUCCCGUGUACAACAUGGCAAACAUUCCGAAGGACAUUCCUCUUUUCCUCAGCUAUGGAGGGAGAGAUUCAAUUUCUGACGUGAAUGAUGUGGGAGUUUUGCUUGACGACCUCGAAGAUCAUGAUAAGGACAAGCUUGUGGUACUGUACAGAGAGGAUUAUGCUCAUUUGGAUUUUAUCAUGAGUGUGAAUGCCAAUCAACUUGUGUAUAAUCCUCUAGAGGCCUUCAUCAGGCUUCAUUAAUUAAGAGUAAAGACUACAGCUACUUUUGCAAAUAUGUUGAAGACAUUUCUUUUGUCUGACAAUUAUCAAAAUUCAUAAGUUAUUUAUAAAGAAAUCGUAAAUAGGGUUUCGGAUUUGAAUUCCGUAGGUAAUUUAAGGAAGGUAUUGCUUGUAUAGAAGUUACGCAUCUACAUAUAUGAGCUUUCCUAUAUUUCAAGCCUAGUAUGCAGCUGUUUCUACCUUGGAGAAAUUUUUCCGCUAGACUCUGAAGCUAUAGCAUUUUAGUGGUUAGGUUGAACUUGCUUUUCAAAUGCUACUAUGUGUAAGCCUUGGACAAACACAAAUUAAUUGCAAAACAAAAAACAAACACAAACUUUGGCGUAGCCUAGUUGGCUAGAGCAAUGUAGCAUUUUUUUGCAGCCAAAUGUGAAUCCCCGGCCACAUCUCUGUAGUUUAUAUUAAAUUACAAUCUUGCUCGAAUAAAAAAGAAAUUACAAAAGUGAAUCACUGGUUAUUUGCAUAUGCGGAGGGAGCAUGCAGUGUGAUGAAAAAUGCAAGUAGGGUUUCACCUUCUAUAUCAAUGGUUGACACCUCUAUUGAGAGACCUAAACCAGUCACAAUGUAGUUACAACAGUAAAUAGUUAGUUGUGGUAUUUGUGUAAUUAGUUGUAGAAGAUAAGGUCACUUAUGUAAAGAGUCUUUGUGACUAUAUAUAUCUCUGUAUACUGUCAAUUAAAAUAUGAAUGAGAAAUAUCUUUUUUAACACUUUCUACAUGGUUUCAUGGCCAAAAGCCUUCCGGCAUUCGAUCCUUCAUUUCUUUCGCUCUACUUCUCUGAUUUCUGUUCAAAUUGAUCAGCUUUCUUCGAUUGAUUUGGUAUUCUGAUCUCUGUUCUUGAUCUGUCAUGGUGUUUUUUGUCUACAAUUUCUGUCAAUUUUGAGUCGGUGAUAGAUCUGAGUUUUCUUACAAUUUCGUUGAUUUGGGGAUUUUUUGAUCGAUUUCUCUCUUUCUCGAUCGAUUUCUUGAUCGACUUCGUGAUCGAUCUUGUGUUUUCUAUCUUUGAUUCUUCCUUCUCUCUCGCAUCUUGCGCUUGUAUAUCAUGGCCUCCCCCUCUGACUCUUCGUCUCCGUCGCCAAACCCUAAUUUCUCUGCAAAUCCUCAGAACUCGUAUAUGUCUCUUACGAUCCAAAAUAUUGGUAGCAUGGUGCCAAUCAAGCUCAAACGCACUAAUUACCUUCCAUGGCGUGCGUUAUUUGCUCCGAUCUUGCGCCGAUACAAACUUCUUGGCCUCGUCGACGGUACUGAGCCAUGUCCGGCUCCCCUUCUCCCUGAUCGCUCCCUGAAUCCAGCAUUUGAGCAGUGGUUUGAAAAAGAUCAAAACCUCUUGAUUUGGCUCAACUCGACUUUAUCCGAAGAUCUCAUUCCCUUCACAGUAGGGGUGUCCACAUCUCGAGAACUUUGGCAGAAGCUUGAACAACGCUUUGGUGGCGUCUCUGAAGCUCACAUUCACCAGCUUCGUUCUCGUCUUCAAUCGAUUCAAAAAGGCUCUCAAUCGAUCUCGGAAUAUCUACAGCAAAUCAAGGAAAUUUCGGAUUCUCUCAAUGCUGCUGGCGCCACUGUACCUGAUCGUGAUCUCAUUGCUGCAACGCUUCACGGUCUUCCUGAUGAAUUCGAGUCCUUCAUUGACUCCAUCAUGCUGCGAUUGUCUUCUACUUCUCUUGAUGAAUUACAUGGUCUGUUGCUGACCAAAGAGCUUUCCAUGGCUCGUCGAAAGCAUACUCUGUCCACCACUGCUACGGAGCCCUUUCAAGCAUUCUCUGUUCAGUCUCAAGCACCUUUGCUCCCAACGCCUUCUUCACAGGCCUUUGCUGCAUAUAGUCAGCCUCUUCAAUCUUCUUCUCGGUACAAUUCUAAUAGAGGCCGGAACAAUCGUAAUUUUUUCCGAGGCAAUCGAAAUGUCAGUAAUUCACGUGGCAACUCCACUGGUACUUAUCGUCCAAGUCAGCCUCGUGCCUUUCAUCAAGGCUCCCGAUCUCACAACCAAGGUUCUUCAUCAAAUCACAAGACCACCUGUCAAAUAUGUGGUUCUACCAGCCACGAAGCAAUUGAUUGCUUUGACAGGAUGAACCCUGAGAUCUUUGGACGGGUGCCACCAGCCAAACUUGCAGCUCUUUGUGCUCACUACUCAUCCAAACCAUCCCCUUCUUGGCUAUUGGAUUCUGGAGCCACCUCCCAUAUCACGAAUGACAUUGCCAAUCUCUCUGUUGCCUCGCCUUACACUGGUGAAGACAAGGUCUAUAUAGGAGAUGGUAAAGGUCUGCCUAUUCACAAUAUUGGUAUCUCUUCUUUAGAUACAUCUCAUACUUCCUUUAAGUUGCGUAAUGUCUUACAUGUGCCUGCUAUGAAACACAACUUGUUAUCUGCCUAUCAAUUUUUAAAAGAUAAUAAUUGUGCCUUGACUCUUGACCCUGAUGGAUCCACUGUAAAGGAUCGAGUUUCGGGGAAGACGCUUUUGCGGGGACGAGUUGAAGAUGGCUUCUAUCCUCUUCAAGGCUCUGGUCAUCCCCCCUCCUCCUCACCCUCGACUUUAAUAAGUGUUAAAGCUCCUGUCCAGAUUUGGCACCGAAGAUUGGGUCAUCCAUUUUCUUCUAUUUUUCGCAAGGUUUUUUCAGGAAAUAAGCUUGUCGUGCAAGGCAAACCUGUUGGUGAUAUUUUCUGCUCAGAUUGUGCUUUAGCUAAAAGUCACAAGCUUCCUUUUGGUUCUGCCAGUUCUACACGUACUCACAGUCUUCAACUACUACACUGUGAUAUUUGGGGUCCUGCCUCCAUCACUUCUCCUAGUGGCUUUAAGUACUACUUGUUGCUUGUAGAUGAUUACAGUAGAUAUAGUUGGUUAUUUCCAUUAAAGGCAAAAUCUGAUGCCUAUUCUACUUUUGUUGUAUUCAAACAAUAUGUAGAAAAUCUACUUGGAAAUAAAAUCAAAGUUGUGCAGUCCGAUUCAGGGGGUGAAUUCAUUGGUGCUAAGUUUGAGUCUUUUCUUCACACUCAUGGUAUUCUUCAUCGAUUAACAUGUCCUCACACUCCUGAACAAAAUGGCUGUGCUGAAAGAAAACACCGCCAUAUUGUGGAAACUGCCCGUACAUUACUUGUUGCUUCUAAUGUUCCACAUCUUUAUUGGGUGGAAGCUUUUUCCACGGCUGUGUAUCUUAUUAACAGGUUGCCGAUCUCUGGCCUUUCUACAUCUCCUUGGGAAUUACUCUUCUUCAAGCCACCAGAUUACUCCAGACUCAAAGUCUUUGGUUGUCGAUGUUUCCCGUGGCUCAAACCUUACACUCAUUCCAAGCUGGAUGCUAAGAGCAAAAGUUGUGUGUUUCUCGGGUACAGUUUACAGCACAAAGGAUAUAGAUGCCUUGAUCCAGUCACUAAUCGUCUCUAUAUUUCCAGACAUGUGCAGUUUGAUGAAGCAACUUAUCCUUUUCAGUCUUCUCCUACCAUCCCUGUUCUGUCUUCAGACUCUGUUACCGCUCCCAUGGAUCUGCAGUUUUCCGUUCCUCAGCAUACUGGUGUUCCUCCUGGACACGUUGGCCAUCCUCAAGAGUCCAUUCCUCCUACUGCUGCUCCAAGUACAGAUUCUCUGACUAAUGCAUCCGUAUCUUCCCCUGCAACAACUAUGUCAUUGCCCCCUUCCAAUACUCACCCUAUGAUCACUCGCUCCAAAGCUGGUAUCUUCAAGCCCAAAGUUUAUGCAGCUACCAAACAUCCUCUUCCAUCUGAUAUUGACUUUAUUCCAACUACAUAUCUGCAAGCCUCUAAACAUGCUUAUUUGAGGUCUGCCAUGCAAGAUGAGUUUAAUGCAUUACAAUCAACAGGUACCUGGACCCUUGUUCCUCCAUCUUCCUCCUACAAUGUGGUUGGCUGCAAGUGGGUGUUCCGAAUCAAGAAGAAACCUGAUGGUACUGUUGAGCGCUUUAAAGCUCGUUUAGUUGCAAAGGGGUAUCAUCAGCAGGAAGGUAUCGAUUUUCAAGAGACCUUCAGUCUUGUGGCUAAACCAGUCACCAUUAGAAUCCUUUUGUCCCUUAUUGUGCAGUUCAAUUGGUUUCUACAUCAGUUAGACAUCAGUAAUGCCUUUCUUCAUGGUGAUUUGAAGGAAGAUGUGUACAUGCAGCAGCCUCCCGGUUUCUCUGAUCCUACUAUGCCACAUCAUGUCUGCAAAUUAAGGAAAUCCCUUUAUGGUCUCAAACAAGCCCCUCGGGCUUGGUUUGACAAACUGUUUCAAGCUCUUCUUCAGCUUGGUUUUCAGCAAUCUUCCUCCGAUGCUUCCUUAUUUGUUCUUCCUGGUCCUACUCCUGUCAUGGUGCUUGUGUAUGUCGAUGAUAUCUUAGUCACUGGACCUGACUCUUCCUUAUGCCAUCUCUUCAUUCAAAAUCUCAGUGAUAUUUUUCCAGUUAAGGAUUUGGGUCCACUGCACUAUUUCCUGGGUUUAGAGAUUCAACGAUCUUCCACAGGUCUCUUCCUCCAUCAAACAAAGUAUUUACUUGAUCUUCUCCGGAAAACUAAUAUGGCUGGUGCGAAGCCUUGCUGCACUCCCCUUGGCUCUAACAAAUUGGAUCACAGUGGUCCUCUUUUCUCUAAUCCAACUGAGUAUCGAUCCAUUGUUGGUGGUUUACAGUAUUUGACAUGGACACGUCCUGAUAUUUCGUUUGCUGUGAAUCAAAUAUGUCAGUUCAUGCAUGCUCCUCGAGACCAACACAUGCAAGCUGCCAAACGAAUUCUUCGUUAUCUCAAGGGUACUGUAUCUGAAGGUCUAUGGUUCAGACAGGAUGCCACUAAUCUCACAGCCUUCUCCGAUGCAGACUGGGCUGGCUGUCUAUUUGAUCGCCGUUCUACUAGUGGUUACAAUGUCUUUCUCGGAUCCAAUCUUAUCAGUUGGAGUGCCAAGAAACAGGCUACUGUGGCACGGUCAUCCACAGAGGCGGAAUACAGAUCUCUAGCCCACACUGCAGCUGAACUGACUUGGAUCUGUAAAAUUUUUCGUGACCUUGGUUUUCCUCUCUCUCAGGCUCCCACUCUCUGGUGUGAUAACAUUUCAGCCAUCUCUCUUGCUUCUAAUCCGGUCUUUCAUGCCCGAACUAAACACGUGGAGAUUGACUAUCAUUAUAUUCGCGAGUUGGUCUUAGCUAAUCUCAUCAAGGUUCACUUUGUUUGUAGUCAGGAUCAGCUCGCUGACAUACACACCAAGUCUCUGUCCAAAGGUCGAUUUGCUGCUCUAAAAUCCAAGCUUCCUCUUGGUUCUUCCAUUGAUCCCGAGCUCAGCUUGAGGGGGUGUAUUGAGAGACCUAAACCAAUCACAAUUUAGUUACAACAGUAAAUAGUUAGUUGUGGUAUUUGUGUAAUUAGUUGUAGAAGAUAAGGUCACUUAUGUAAAGAGUCUUUGUGACUAUAUAUAUCUCUGUGUACUGUCAAUUAAAAUAUGAAUGAGAAAUAUCUUUUUUAACACUUUCUACAACCUCUCUCUCUCUCAUCAAAUAUAGAUUUUUGAUCUAAGAGAAAAAUGAUUCCAGGCUGCAGGAUGAGUUGCUGUGAACGGAUCACCAUCAUUGUUUAUUAUUCUACAACCCUUCACCCUUUUCGAAGGCAAGAAGAGCUCCUCACAGUGAACAGCACAGGGCGGUGGUGAACCUCCAAUGCUAACUUGGCGAUCAAGGUUCCCAUGAACUGACGAGGACCUCACCAUUUUCUUCAGCUUGGUAACUAAAUUGACAAGCUUCUCCAUCCUCGACCUCUUAAUCUUUCAUUAAUCUCAAAUCCUCUUGAAGAAGCUUAUAUGUAGAAUUGGCGGAGUUGAAAGGAGUUGAUCAAAGUGUGGUGGCAUCACACGGAUUUCGUGCAAGCUUGUACAAGAUGAGCGUGGCAUUUGUAAGUUACUUGCGUUUUCUUUCUGUUAUAGGCUUAGAGCUCACAUGCCUUGUCAUUUUGUUGCAGCUUUAGCUUUGAGGAGGAUAUGUUACGUUCACUUUGUUAGAGAGUAAGGAUUUGUUGGCUUCUUAUAUGGCAUGAAAAUUCUGGAUCUGUUAUACUUAUGCACGUCAAGGAGUCAUAUUUACAAUACUUACAUGUAUUUAAUGCCGCUGCCAUCUUGAUAGUCAUAUGAUGAUUGAAUUAAAUACAUAUAUUAGCAUGAAUUAUAUAUAUCUAUCAAAUGAUAAUUAUAUUAAAUAGUAAAUACAUAUAAGUGUUGUAACCAAUUCUGAAAAGUCUUAAUACAAAAUCAGGGUUGAAAAACAAAGAAAAAAGAGACGUUAAAUGAGAAAGGAAGGCCAAAAAAUUAUUGCUUGUGUCACUUUUUUUUUAAAGGAAAACUAAUGAAAAAGGCUAAAAAACUUUUAGUUUUAACGAUAAGGACAAAAUAAAGGAUAAAGUGAAUAGUAGCAUAAUUGACUUUUUAAUGUAAAAAUAUGGUUUUUCGUUAAAGUGAACAGUACCAAAAAAUUUUCAUUAAAGUUCCAUUUUUUUAACCUCUUCAUUUCGCUUGUGGGUGCAAAACCUAGUAAAAUAUUGAAUUUAAAUGGUAAAUGGUAAAUGGCUAAGUCAUUAGCACUUCGAUUUAGUAAGAUAUGAGUAAGUCAAAUAAAAAACCCGUUGGAUAUCAAUUAUGAUUGAUCCAUUACGUGGCUUAUUCAAAUUCUAACCCAGUGUAACAAUUACUAUGCUAACCAUAAAUAAAUGCCAUUUGAAGAGGAACAUUUUUCUUCAUAGUCAUAGCCCUAGGCCAUAAACUCAUAGCAUUUAAUUAAUUUUUAUGCGAAUUGAAAUCUGAUAAUACAUUUUUAUUCCCUUAUUGGUCCAAUCUCUUGUGAACAAAUAAUAAAGAGCAAAAUACACCAAUAAAAUUUCGUAAGAAACCAGGGCCAGCUGACGUGUAAAUUUCUGAUUGGCCCUCACACGUAGCUCACCCAGCCCAAAAACCAGAAGAAAAUUCACUGGGGGUUUCGUCUUCACUGAUUAGCACAACAAAACCUCAGAGAGAGAGAGAGAGAGAGAGGGAGAGAGUGAGAGUGUGUAAGAGAGAGAGAGAAUGAGAGAGAAUCAAUUUCGAGCAGUCCCAAUCAUCUUCUUGUUUUUCUUCGUCUUCAGUGUCUGUGAUGCACUAUACGGACCAUCAUCGCCAGUUCUUCAGCUAACUCCUUCCAACUUCAAGUCCAAGGUAAAUGUUGAAACUUUACCAGUAAUUGCGCGUACCCUUUUCAGAUUCUUCAGUUUUUUGCAUUAAUCUAUUGGAAUUUGUCACCGUUUGGAUUGAAAAGCACUUGGGCGUUGAUUGGGUUUUUCAAUUAAGAAGCGAUUGUUUUGCUGUUGAAAGCAAAGUGCUUUCUUGUAUUGCUUUUAGAGUUUUACUGCUUACGGAGAUCAUUAGUUUUUGGAUCUGGUUUAUUGCUUCUUGGGGAUAUUUGUUUCGGAAAAAGUAAGUUAAUUUUGCACUUUGUGGAAAUUGUUUGAUAAAUUUGCUGAGUUUAAUGUACUUGUUUUUCGUUUCCCAGCAUAGAAAUGUGAUCAGUGAGUUCUGAUCCUUAUUGGGCUAAUUAUGAUUUCUAGUAAGACAAUUUGACUGGUAUUUUCUUGAACUGAAUCCUGUGGAAUGGUGGCAGGUUCUGGACUCAAACAGAGUUGUUCUGGUUGAAUUCUUUGCACCGUGGUGCGGACAUUGUCAGGCUCUUACACCGAUAUGGGAGAAAGCGGCUACUGUCUUAAAGGGUGUGGUUGCCGUGGCAGCUCUUGAUGCUGAUGCACACAAGUCCCUCGCUCAGGUUUCCCAUGGUUACCCUUGCAAUUACUAAUUUUGACUUCUAAGUUUGAAGUAGCAAUUGUAGAUUAACAUCCCUCUGCCUGAAAAUAUGUGGUCAACCAUAUUAUUGUUUUAUAAAACUUCCCCACUGUAUGAUAGUUUUGCCAUAUUUGGACAAGGAAUAUGAGUAUUUCAGGUUGUUUACUAAUAUAUUAAUUUUGUGUGGGGGUGUUGGUGUGUUUGAUUGCUCUAUAGGAAUAUGGGAUUAGAGGAUUUCCAACAAUAAAGGUGUUUGUACCCGGAAAGCCUCCAGUUGACUAUCAGGGAGCAAGGGAUGUGAAACCCAUUGCAGAAUUUGCACUCCAACAGGUUCGCCGUAAUCUCUUCUUCAAAUUCUAUUUGUUUUGUUAGUUCGUUUCUUUUCUUGUAUAUUGGUUAAAGUAGAGUUUGGUAACAUUCGUGGAUUAAGGUAGUCUUAUAUUGUUUCUGCUCCACUAUGUCUUACCUUGCUCUAUUACUUAGUCAUGGGAUACGUAGAUGGUUAUAAUCAUAUCUCACUCGGUCAUAUAAUGCUCUUGCAUAAAACGGAUUCAUGUAUCAGUAAUGUGACCAUUCCAUUGGCCCUGUACAGAUAAAGGCGCUGUUGAAAGACCGCUUAAGUGGAAAAACAACAGGAGGAUCAAGCGAAAAAUCUGAACCUAGUGCUUCGGUAGAAUUAAAUUCCCAGAAUUUUAAUGAACUGGUGCUUAAAAGUAAAGAUCUCUGGAUUGUGGAGUUCUUUGCACCUUGGUACGUGCUUUUCUUUAUGACUAUCUUAUAAGCUAAUUUUAAAAUAGUGAUCUGUUUGUCUAUUAUAUGAAUAUGAGAUUGUAGAAGAUUAUGGACUUGUUCCAAAUUUCCUUGUUUCAAGGUGUGGGCACUGCAAAAAAUUGGCACCUGAGUGGAAGAAGGCCGCUAAAAACUUGCAGGGGAAGGUGAAGUUGGGACACGUUGACUGUGAUGCAGAGAAGGUAACUUUGCCUUCCUGACUAUGUACUGGAUCUACGUGUUUUUAUGUCUUGUACUAUAUGGUUCUAACUUGGUGGCAUUACCAGUCUCUGAUGAGCAAGUUCAACGUUCAAGGAUUUCCGACCAUAUUGGUAUUUGGAGCUGACAAAGACAGCCCACUCCCCUAUGAGGGUGCAAGGAGUGCUUCAGCCAUUGAAUCAUUUGCUCUCGAACAAUUGGAAACAAACGUUGCACCUCCUGAAGUGACCGAGCUAACUGGCCCAGUAAGUGUUUACUUCCCUCCAAUACUUAAGCUGUGUGAGAUUGUAAGUAACCUAGGGGACUAAAGCAUUGCCGCAAUCUUCUCUUGUAGGAUGUCAUGGAAGAGAAAUGUGGUUCAGCUGCCAUCUGUUUUGUGGCUUUCCUACCUGAUAUUUUGGAUUCCAAGGCAGAAGGGAGGAACAAGUACAUUCAGCAGUUAUUAUCCGUUGCGGAGAAGUUUAAAAGAAGUCCAUACAGGCAAGUUUUUGGAAUUAUGCGCAUAUCACCGCCAAUGAAACCUUGCGCGUUUGAGAGGUGAAUAUAUAGUUACUGACCAUGAAUGUACAUGUAUGUUGCAGCUUUGUGUGGGCAGCAGCUGGUAAGCAGCCAGACCUCGAGAACCGAGUGGGUGUCGGUGGUUAUGGAUAUCCAGCAUUGGUGGCCUUAAACGCAAAAAAGGGAGCUUACGCACCACUUAAGAGUGCAUUCGAGGUUGAUCAGAUCACGUAAGUUUUCUAUCUCCACCUUAUCUCGAACCACUCUUGAUCCUUGUGAUAAUAAAACAAAUUAGAACAACUCAAUUUUGUUUCACAGAGAAUUUGUGAAGGAAGCCGGGCGCGGAGGAAAGGGAAACUUGCCCCUGGAGGGCACCCCGAACAUUGUGAAGAUCGAACCCUGGGAUGGUAAAGACGGAGAGAUAAUUGAAGAGGACGAGUUCUCCCUUGACGAACUAAUGGGAGAAGAUACCACUAACAAGGAAGAGUUGUGAGAAAUUUAAAGUAUCAUACUACAGCAGGAGAAUUAUAUCAGGCUAAGAUUGAUUUUGGGUGCUGGUCAUCCCAGUGUUUCUGUGUUUAAACGAUGUUUUCAACAACGCACAAGAGCUUUCUUGUGAGCGAGGCUCUCUUUUGUUCUCUUGUUUGUUACCAUUACUGUGCGUCAUUUCAUAGCAAUGCAGUGUUUAGGUACAAUACUCUUGUUGGUUUCCAGAUUGACAAAUCACUGGUUUUUGAUUGGUGUCCAAGCCAUGGAUGCCCAAUUCAUCCGGCGCAGGUGGCAUUUUAAAACGAGAAAAUAUUCAGUAGGGCAGCGUGACCAGAGCCUGGUCACUCUCAAAGAGGAUGGGUUCGUCGUGCCGCAUACAAUGCGGCCCGUUCCUCUGUGAGAGUGCAUGAAAUGGUUCUCUCUCAAAACAUCACGACUAAUCAAUAUUCAGAAAUUAUGAAGGGCAAUAUAUGGGGAGAGACUCCACUCUUGCAUAUCAUUGAAAAUUUGAAAUCCAAAAUUUUGCAGCUUGUAAUUAUCCAUUGGAUUCCAAAUCCAGAAGGGAAGAAAAAAAGGGUCAAAAUGCAUCACAUUUUAACUAUGUGGUACCUAAUCCCUCGUAUCGGAUCCACAGAGACGCGAAUACAUGCCUUAGCGUAUACGUGUACACUCCUUUUCCCGUCUUCUCUGACCAAAAAAGCAAAGUACAUCCCCUUCUACCCAAUUCAGAAUUUCUUUCGUUGAAGUUCUGGGAAAAAUAAGAUGCGCUGUUUACCAUUCGCCCUUGAUCCUCGCUAAGCAUUCUUUUCUCAAAGGUGAAUCUGCAAAUAUGGCCUUGAUAAAAUCCUCUACCUGAAAAAUUGGAGGAGCUUGUAAGAACAUUGAGACAUGAACAGCACAUAAAGCUGAACAGAAUAUAUGUGGUCAAGUGAAAUCAUGCCUCAUACUAAGUUACUAACAGAAAUGAAAUCAUACCUCUGACGACGUAAAACCACAAUUGCGCAAUUCUCCACUUUCCCAAGCCGUUGUGAUAGAUUUUAAGGGCAUAUCUAAUAAUUCUGAAGAAUUUGAAACACAAUGAGAAUUAGGUCACUGUUUGCAAGACAUCUACUAGUUCUGUACUGAAUCACACUGAACUUUCAGCAUCAGACGAAAUACAUGCCUGCCAAUUUACGAAUUUUAUAUAACGAAGGUAUGUCAUCGUCAAGGGUGCAAGUGAUGCCCUCUUGGGACUUCUCUACUUGGAGAGCAGCCAGGGACUCCAGCAAAGAAAUUAGGCUCUCCAGCAUCAAAUGAAUCAGACUUUGAAGCUAGGAACAUAAAUACAUCGUUUUAGUUAGACACCAAGCAUCAGAAGUACAAAAACUGGAUAUAUGACCAAAGAUUAUACCUGUAAUGUUUCUUCUGCUGCCAUAUCAUCUAAAAGGAGUAUGUCUUUUAUGACCCUAGAAAAAACCGAUUCAAGAAUCAUACACAUGCUUCUCUUGUAAGUUGAAGGCAACAGGAUCGGCUCCCAUAUCAAACGUACUUUGUCCACAAUCAAAACAACCUGAACAAGAUAUGUUUAGCCUUACAGACAUACCUCGCAAGAAAAACUAAGGUACUAAAAAUAGCUUAACAAAUAUAUCAAAUAUAAUAUGAUUCAUGAAACAAAAGUUCCUCGUUAAAAUUCACAGCAGGCCACCUGAUCUAUACUCCAACUUGCAGAUUGAAAUUGCUGCCUUUCAUGGGUAUUCUGAAAUCCAUCAGCACCAUCUAGAGCCUGGUAAAAGACAAUUUAUUGAAGUUAAAUAAGAAACUACAAUUCUCUAAACUACAUAACUUUCUAGCUCUUAUAUGAAUUGAAACAUUUCAGCACAAUUAUACCUCUCUCAAACUACGAAUAACAUGUUGAAUUUGUCUCUGAAGUACUUCCUCUGCCAUAAGAUGGAAUCUUGGAGCCAUAUCAACAAACAUAGCAUGUUCUUUGAUGGAACUUGGAAAGUCUGAGCGAUACUGGGACAAAAGAGUACAACCGUAUGAAUUCCACUACUUAUUAUAACUUCACAAGCAGUAUGGAUUUAAUGAAUUCCACUAUUAACAGAAUAGCAAAUCAUCAUUCUGUUGGGAUCGAAGUUAGGUAUCAUAUAAAUAGUGAACUGUCAUUAUUUGGUGCAAUAUUCGGACAUACAUUUUUUUUAUUGGAUAGUGGUACACGAUACAAGAGUCAUUAUAGGUGCAAGCAUGCAUGUGAUCUUGGUGAUGGUGGGGAAUAGAAUCAACAAAAUAGAUAACAUGAGCCGAUUAUGACUGUUCAUCGCCUACCUCAAAAGCAAGCCCCAGUAUCUCCUGAGAUAGAUAAAGGCAAUCAUUGUGCAUAAGAACAGCAACCUGGUUGAUUACAUCAAGAUGCCUUUCUAGCUUCACAAGUCAAGAGAGAAGAUUACUUAUACUCCAUGCAAAAAUCACCAAUAUUGAUGAAAAACUGAGGUGAAAAUAGGCCAGAAAGUAAACUUGAUAGAGAUUUGCCAGAGCUGAGAUAUGAUGUUAAGUUAAUACAUGGAGAAAAAUACUGCAACUAAAAUAUUAAAAUGAUUUUUGUGGUUCAUAAAAAAAGGACAUAAAAACAUCAUCAGAGACCUCUUUUGUAUCUUUCAUGAAUAAACCUUAGAAAGGAACAGAGAGAAGGACGCCGGGGUCUCAAAAAAAUUAGUACAAUAGACAACAUCAUGGGACAGACGUAACAUCACACCUGCACUUUUUAGAUUGUCUUAACAAAGGUGUAAAAACAGUCAGUAUCUAAAAUUUAUAGUACUGGUUUCCUGUUCUAACCUUGACAGGAACCACGACUUCAUAGAGAAGUAGAGCAUCCCUAGCAGCCUGAUAGAACUCCAAAGCAACUCUGGGGGAUGACAUGCAAACAUCCUACACAUUCCAAUCACAGUUGUAGCCAUAAAAUAUAACAAAUGGUAAUUUAUACGAAGAAUCGAGAGGCAAGAAAACUGAAACUCGAGGAAAAAUGCAUUAAUCAUGAAAAUGAAAUCUCAAAUGCAAGCACUAAUUAGUGCCUUGAGGCUAGCAGGUUGCUCGUCAACUUAAGGUUUCUUUUCUAUUUUACUACAUCAUUAAGGGGAAAAAUCAAACAUUUAUGAGUUUUAACCCAGAUACCUUAAGUGUCUGGUGCACUAGAUUCAUUAGUUCAAUCGCUGCUUUGGACACCACACACUUCCCAGACAGGAAUAGCAAGUUAACAAGCUCUGGAGAUUUGGCAGCAUCCAGAUCAUUCUUGUUAUUCCUUGGAUACUCCUGUGGGAAAAAUAUAUUGUUCAAAGGCUGGAAAUAUCAAAAUAGCUACAAAUGCAUUCAAGACAGUUAUAGAAGCUUACUUGAGGAGCAGAAAAAUCACAUUGUAGAAGUAGAUUUCUGGCUUUUGCCAAGAUCUCUGACUUCUUCCUGGAUGCAAAGUGAACCUCGACAUUUUCAGCAAAAUUGCUCAACUGGUUAUCUCUGUUAUCAGAUGCUGAAAUAAACUUCAUUUCCCUUAAAGCAGUCUCAAAUUCGGAAGUACAACUAAUGAUCUUAAGAAAGUCAGCAAGUUUUGAAGCAUCUUCAGGAACAACCUGAAACAAAAAACAUGUCUCCAUUACAUAGACGUACAAAAUGAUAAAUGGCAUGAUGCAAGUAGCAAUUUUAAUGCAGCUAAUGAAGAAGUAACUUUGAGUAUUCACCGAAAAUCCUAUACUUGUUUGCUAACAUAUAUUUAUAACAGAAUUCAAAAAAAAAAAAACAAAUAGAAAAGAAUGGAUGGGUGCGAAGAGAUAAAAGGAAUAACCUUAGAGAGAAAUUUAGAAAUAAUUAACUCUGAAAUCCUUGGCCAUGUCAAUCUCCCAAAGCAUCGAAUCCAAGACUCAUCUUGAAGGCAGAUGUAGUUGCUAAUAAACUUGAUAACCUGAAUAAUCCCUGAGUAGAUAGUCUCACCAUCCAUUUUUUCAAUCUGAAAAUCCAAAGGAAAAUGCCAAUGCAACACUUAUUGGAAUCCAAUGAGUACAAAUUUGUGGAAUACCCCUUAUUGAAUUGAUAACUAAAGGAGUCACUCCCGCGAAUCAAUAAUAUAUGAUAAUUUAAAGUGAACCCAAUUUUUUUUCUCAAACAUGUAUAAGACAAACCGUUGAACAAUAAGACUGUGAAAAAUAUUUAGACAAGAUUGACACGUAAAAACUACCUUAGGAUCAUUUGAUGGUACAAUGUUCAGUAUCGCCUCAGUCAGAACUUGUGAGUCUCGAUUUACUUCAGCUACAAAGGACACAGGAACUCCAAAAUUUAGAGCCGAGGAGAUGACAUGCUUGAUCAUCAAGUCGCCAACUUUACCAAGACCAUAAUCCAAAAUGCCGACUACCUAGAAAUCCCCAUAACAAAACCAGAUAACUGAAUUCUUUACAAACCCCAUUGCUCUCAUUAUUUUAAGCAAAAAUUAUUUGAAUUGCAAAUUUCAUGUAGUUUUGAGCAAUGCAUCUACUUGUACUGAUUUCAAAGGCAAGGGGAAGGAACAAAAGAUAUUAACUUCAACUUACAUUCAAAGCUUCCAAAACUGUGCGGAGCUCAAACCCAUCGUUUCCGUCAAUGCUAAGUACAUACUUGACACAGAUUCUAUUCGAUUCCCGCUCAAACCGCACCGCAUUUCUGAUGAACAUCACAAGCACUUCUUGAAUCUACAAACCCAAACUGAAUUCCUCUAAAAAAUACAAUCACAAACUCAAAUAAAAAUCACCAAUUAAACAACCACAAUAGCAUUUUUUUUAUGAACUAGCUAUUUAAAUUUCUCUCAUUUCCGUUCAUUUUCUCGGCAACCAAACAGAAAGUAAGCUUCUUUACCUCCUCAAAGCACUCUGACCACUCCUUCCUCAGCAAUCUGUACACCACAGGCUCUCCCUCAUCAACCCGAUCAUCAUCCGAAACCCUAAGAGCAUUCUUCAGCUCCCUCAGCUCCUGGGCGGCGAACCUCAGCCGUCCAUUCCUCAACCCCUCACUGGCGCCCUUCAACCUUUCACUUAUUUCCAGAAUUGCCCUCACCAACUCCAACAACGCCUUCUUCUCCCUCGCCUCUUUCGUCGUGGCGCUCAUCUGCUUCAUAAUCUGCCCAAUCUCCGCCUCAAUGGGGCGGUUGGAAAUUGAACUCAGAAGCCGGACGACGUCGUCGGAAAUUUGGUUGGAGCGCGAAACGGCGUCGUUGCAGACGGAGAAAAGGUUGGCGAAAUCCUGGUGGUGAGAGAGGAGGUAAGAUUGGAUUUUGGACUUGAUUUGGAGCGAGUGGGAGUCGAGGCGUUGGAUGAGGAGGCGGAGAUCCGGCGCAGACAGAGGGGUCGUGGGGUCGCUGAGGUCCUGCGCCGACAGGAGCUCUCGGACGUUGAUUGAGUCGAACAGGGCGUCCAUUUCCGGCGGAUCGGACGGCUGGGACUGCCGGUUGGGGAGACUCGGUCGGAGGAGUGUAUUUUGUAUCGGAGUGGUGGAUGAAGAACGAAGAGAUGGGACUGGCGGAGGUUUUAGGCGGAGUGUGAUAACGUGCGCCGGGAGCGUUGGUGUUGGGUUUUGGGGCGGGCUGUUAUUACUCGCGGGGAAUUAUUUUUGUUCUUAUAUGGGCCUACUAUGGAAUAAUGGGCUGACUUUGAGUUUCAAAUUUAAAGAUUCAAAUAUAGCCGAAGCCCAAAACCCAACUUUUCUUUAAUCGAUCCUACGUACACUGUGUGACGAUUGUUCUUUUUCCUUUUUAUUCAACAAACGAUAUUAUUCAUAGGGCGGGGGAUUAGGUACAAUUAUCCCGGGAGUGGGCACAAUGAGUUAAUAAUAAUGCAGUUCAAAUUCAUUUUUCACGAGAAUUAACCAAAAACUCCUCACUUAUAAAUAAAGAGAAAUACUACUGAACUAUAAUAUUAAGUAGCAUAUACAAUUAAAUGUUGGAUGUCAACAAUAACCGACUAAUCCUCCAAGGAGAAUAGCAUUUAUAACAAAGUGCUUCUCUAAAACCCUUCUAUUCGAGGAUAAAUUUUUCAAUAUUCUAGAAACACGGUCCUGUAUACCAAGUGACAUAACAUAAGUUGUUGAAAAGAAAAAAAAAAUUUAAGUCUCCAACCACUUGUGUUAUGACACUCUAAAAAUAUAUUCCAACCAUCAAUCAUGAGAUUUUCUUGUUCUGAUGUCUAAAACGUUCCAAUUAAACUACUCGUAAGCAGUUGGAUUCUUCUAAUGUGCAACAUUCUAUAUAACAAAGUUUGUCCCUUAAUAGGGUGUCGUAAGAUGCCUCUUUCUGCCUUCUGCCCAUUAUUCAUUAAAAUAUUUCAAAUAGACAACGACCUAAAAGGUUGACCAUUAUACUUUUGCCUAAAACAAGAGUUUAGUCGAUACAAAACAUCAUCCUUUUCCUUUUUUUUUCUAUAAGCAUCAUCCUUUUCCUUGCUAACAAGUAACAAUUAACUAUGAAAGAUUCCUCUUCCUCUUCCUCUUCUCCCAUUCUGUUUAGUUUCCACAUAAUUAUUAAGUUUUUUCCAUCGUACUCAAAAGGAAAAGGAGAAGAAAGAAGCAUCAGAGGAAACUUGGCACUCUCAAGUUUCAAACGUACAACAGUCGGUCAUACUUUUGUGUCUGUUGACUGCAUUGGUCCAUCUUCUAUUCAACGCUGAUGAACAAUUGACCCUUGACCCUUUCAACUUCAACCCCAUUAACCUACAGUCAUCCUAUUUUAUUCUAGACUUUAGUUAAAUUGAUGACUAAAUUAUUAAACAAAGACUAAGUCUUUUUUGUUUUUUAGUUUUUUAGUUUUUUUGUUUUCUUGUUUUUUGUUUUGCUUAGAUACUCGUGGACAUCGAAAUAACUUAAUUUUGAAAGUGUACGAAUUUAUUAAAAUAUUAAUUUGUGUGAAAGAAUCUAAUCUAAGUUAAACUUCUUAAUAAUCAAGCAAACGAUAACAGAAAAACAAGCAAAUUGUUUCUGCAGAUGAAUUGAACACUAAAAGUUUCACAACUUAAGCAAAAAUAUAUAGAUCAUUUACAAGAGGAACUUCAUUAAAUAAUCCAAAAUUCAGCACUAAAUUGGAUUAUUGGAACUUAAAUCCAAACUAAUCCAACCUAGUAAAACAAUCUUGGAAAAAAAAAAUGAUACUAAUGAAAUGAAAAACCCAAAUGGCAGAUGAAGCCAUUAAUCCCAAUUGCUUUUUUAACAAGAUGGGUAAUGUACACAAAGGGGAAACAAUUUAAGGAUUAAAUCUAACACCAAAAGGAAUUAUUGGUACCUGGAAACUUAUCUGUGUUGAGGAUAACCCUAACCCUAAUUCCAAAGACCCCAAAUCUUGUCCCCAAUGGAACUCACCAGCCUCCUCAUGGUCCCCCUAUCCACUCCAACCUCACAACCUUCAUCAUCACCAGACUCACCACCACUUAUCACUUCAGCAGCAACAACACCAGCGUCCACCACUUGUGGGCCCUCCUCCACCUCCUUCUUGUCCCCAUGCCCUAAUUCCCCAAAUCCCAGAUGAUCACCACUGCUCUUGUUAGCCUUCCUUCUCUCUUUCUUCACCUUUGAGUUUCUGCUCCUCUUCUUCUCCACCAACCUCUCCUCAUAAGCCUCAAGGAUUUCAUGGAUCAGCUGGCGGUUCGGCGAAGCGUCCCACCGUGCCCAAAAACUCAUAUAGCACCUGAAGCAGUCGCACUGGAACGUAGGAGGGUGGUGGGACUGCGGCCCACCAGCUUCGACGCCAACCCUGUUGUGCUUCUGGUGUGCCUUGUGGCCGCCAUAUGUGUUAUCCACGUUGGAGUUGUGUGACUCGAUACAAGUUAUGGAUGUUACCUGCGACGGCCCUGUGGCCGGUGCACGAUUGGACUUAGUAGUAGUAGGCCCACGCUGGUUCGUUGCGCAACCGCCUGAGUUUUUGGUGCAGGAGAUGAGGUAGGCCAAGACCUCUUGGUCUUCGGGGGAGAGGGAUAUGGCCAAGGCGAGGACGGUUGCCGGAAGAAGGGCCAGAGGGUCGGCUACGGAGGGCGGCGAAGGUGACGGGUGAACUUUGCCUUUCUUGUUGUAGAGCUUAUUCAUGUUGGUUGUUGGAAGCGUUGUUCUUUCUUUCUUCUUCUGCGACUUAGCUUUUUGCUUGCGGAAAGAAAAUGAUUUCGUUAACUUUGGAGUCGGCUGUCUUUAUAUCUCGACUACUUGUUCCGUGGGGGAUACGAAUCUAAAAUCUAGGAACACACGUGGCAACUGUAAAAUUGCGGAUUAGAAGAUUUUCUUCUUCUUUUUUAUAAUAUUUUAUUAUAUUUUUAAAUAAUUGAUAUUAGUUAUUUAAAUCUUAGUUCUUGAUGCUUCUGCGUUUCAUUGUGGACCAAUAAUAGUUGGCAUGAAAAUUAUUUGCUAUGUCCAUGAAUGAUUGACGGUAAUAAAACUCAAAUUUAAAUUAAACAUUGGGUUUUUAUUGUGCAAUUAAGUUGUCUUAUUUCAUGCCACUUAAUACUACAGCUUAUGAAUAUUUUUUUUUUACUUGUAAGUGAAGGUCUUAAGUUAGAUUUUCAUCAAAGACGAAAUUGAACCACAUUAUUACUAUCUUAUUAUGAGGCUAAGCAUAUCCUCUCCUUUUUAGUGUAGAUAAUAUUGUUUGUUAAAAAAAAUUGUAUUAUUUCAUUGCCAAGUAAAUAAAAUGUGAUCAAAGCAGCCGUAUUAAUUAAAAAAUUAGCAAAAUUGUUGAAAACUUGUCGAACAUUCUUGUAUUUACUAAUUUCCGUUGUGUGGAUAAGUUUUAGUUUACCUGGAACAAGUACAAAAGCAAUAAAGAAAAGGUGGGUAGAUCAUUUUGAUGUUCAUUUGGACAUUAUUCUAGCUUAGCUAGGAAAGAUCUAGAACCAAGUGCAUGCAUAAUACGCAGUGUGGUGACAUUUUCAUUUUAUCCUACGUAUUUCCCACCCUUUUGUUUCAAGCAAAGGCCAUUGACAAUCCUUACAUGUCGGCUUGUCAUAACAUUAUUUAACUUCUAAGAAGAAAAUUUGAACUCUCGAAACUUUAUCUUAUCUAAUUAAAAUAGUCAGUACAAUUUAAUAGUAAAUAAGCACGUUAAUCUGUAUUAUCCGACGAGUAUUUAUCUUAUCCGACUGAAAUAGUCAGUACAGUCCGAGCUGUCAAACGAGAUCUUAGUAUAUAUCAUUUUUGUCCUUAAUUAUUUGCAAAAAAUAGUAUCAAAUACACGAGUUGUAUUAUCUAUGUAUGAAUUUUUUGGGUAAGAUACUAAAAUUUAGUGAUAACAAAGGCAUGUUGUUGGGGUCAUAAGCAUGCAUUGCUCUCACCCUGCCUCCGCUAGUGAUUCCACUGGCAUAGCACGCCACCGAUCGAUGAUACCUCGAAUCCUGUCAAUCACAAAAUAAUUUGAUGUUCAACAAAGGUUAGUCGUAGGGGCGGAGCCACUAAGAGAUCAAGCUGGUCUUAGGCCUAUCCUGACCAUUGUGUAAGAAAAUUUUAGCAAUCAAGCAUGCAACUGUGGAACCGUAAGACAUGAAGAAAAAGAUGAAUUGUCCUCGUGAAGAAGUUGAGUUAAACAACAUCAUUUCUUAUAUUUUUCUAACAAUUUUGUUUGUUUGGUCUUUGUAGUUUAGUGAAACGAUGAGUUUAGGGAGGGAGUUUUAAAAUCGACUUUAAUGUUAUUCUAAAGCAAUCUAAUCAACUAUUAUUUGUAGGGAUAAUGCUAGGGAGACCAAAAUUUUAAACUAAAUUUUGUAAAUCAAAUGGUGUAGUUGUUGAUGAUUGAAUUAUUACUUAACUGUUGAUUAACAUUUUAAUUUUCUAUGGAUGACACAUCAUUUAAUUUGCAAGUUUAAUUUAAAAUUUUGGUCAACCUAGCAUUACCCUAUUUGCAACUAUCCUUUUUUUUUUUUUUGUCAAACAAUUCAAAUCAGAUUUCCUUGUAUUUUCUUUCUAUAAUGCCAAUUUUUUUACUAGUUGCUUGAUAUCUACCUCCCACUUAAUUGUAUUGGACAAUUAUUUUGAUUCUCUCUAUUAAAUUUAAUGGUUCUUGUACACUAUGUUUGGAUGAGGGAAAUAAAAUUGGAAUUUGGAUAAAAGUCAGAAUUUAUAAAUUGACAUGCACCAAUUCCCUUGUUUGGAUUUAUAACACAGAAAUUUAGAAUUUCCGCUUGAAAAAAAAACUUGAAAUUUAGGGCCUCCAAUUUCCAAGUUUAAAUUCCAUGUAAAUAUGUGUCAUUUCCCAAUUUCUAUGAUUGGGAGUUUAAAAUUAACAAAUUCCGUUUUCAAUUCCAUUAUUCUUUUAAGUUAACCAAACAACAAAAUUCACAAAUUCUAGAAAAUAAAAUCCCUUCAUUUCAAUUUCCGUCAUUUUAAAAUUUCUUAGUAAUCUUAAAUUUCUUCAUCCAAACAUAGUGUUAGUUUUGUGAAGAUUAUCUCAAUUGCUCAUGUUAUGAGUUUGAAUUUUUUUUCUCAAUACCUAUAUGAAAGACCCUUCGCCCCCCUAUCAUAUAGAAUUCUGACUCUGCCAUAAUCACUAGUAAACCAUAGUAUAACAUAGAUGCAAUAAUUAGCACUCUAAAAAAGUUAUCAUGCAUGCAUGCCACUGUAAUUAGUUUUAGAAAGAAAGAGGGGAGGAAUGCAAGAUGAUUUGCUUGAAGUAUGUCACUAGUAAUAUGAUCCAACGAUAUUCUCUCUCAUUUCUAAGUGAGAGGCAUGGAACAAAAAAGAAUCUCAAAAGUCCAAAAGAUGACACGUGGGUUUUUCUUGGAAUUCUGUUUUUCACUCUAGCACUACACCAAACAUUUCACUAAAUCAGACCAGCUUAAUCUAGUCUAAGCUAGUCUAGUCUGAAAUAAUCCGAAGUAAUAAAUGCACUCCCCAUUUUACCAAUUGAUUUAUGACGGAACCUCAACUUUCAUUGUACAAUUUAAAAUUCUCCCAAAAAGUAAAAGGUUAUUUCUACCGAGUCCGGAUCCUCACCGGAUCCUUUUUGUGAGAAUCCCAGGAAUCCGUAAAUCUUAGUUCUUGAUGCUUCUGCGUUUCAUUGUAGACCAAUAAUAGUUGGCAUGAAAAUUAUUUGCUAUGUCCAUGAAUGAUUGACGGUAAUAAAACUCAAAUUUAAAUUAAAUAUUGGGUUUUUAUUGUGCAAUUAAGUUGUUUUAUUUCAUGCCACUUAAUACUACAGCCUAAUAAUAUUAUUUUUUUGGGUAAAAGACUGUUUACUACCCUCAUGUUUCAUGGUUUUCAACAUUUAGUACAUCAAGUUUUUUUCGUCUCAGAAUCAUACCUAAAGUGUAAAUUUUGGGACAAUCUCAUACAUCCGUUAGUCAAACUGUUAAAUUUGCCGUUAAUUGUGACGUGGAGCCCAUGUGGACAAUGACUGGGCGCCACGUGUCAACCACGUUUUUUUUUUUUUUUUUUCUUUCUUCUUCUUCUUCUUCUUCUUCUUCUUCUUCUUCCACCCGACUACAACAAUUUUUUUUCCUUCCUCCUUCUCCUUCCUUCCCCUUCUUCUCCUUCUUCCUUCUCUUCCUCCGAAUUUGGGGAAGUUUUUUUUUUCUUCCUCCUUCUUCCUCCUUCUUCCUUCAUCUUCUUCUUCUUCUUCUUCUUCUUCUUCCUCCGAAUCUGCCCAGAUUCGGUUUUUUUUUUUUUUUUUUUUUUUUUUUUUGAGGAAGAUGAAGAGGAAGGAGGAAGGAAGGAGGAAGGAAGGAGGAAGGAGAAGAAGAAGAAGGAGGAAGGAGGAAGGAAGGAGGAAGGAGGAAGGAAGAAGGAAGAAGAAGAAGAAGAAGGAGGAAAAAGAAGGAAGGAAAAAAAGUUGCAGUCGGAGGAAGAAGAAGAAGAAAGAAGAAAAAAAAAAAAGCCGAAUCUGGGCAGAUUCGGAGGAAGAAGAAGAAGAAGAAGAAGAAGAAGAAGAAGAAGAAGAAGAAGAAGAGGAAGGAAGAAGGAGGAAGGAGGAAGGAGAAGGAAGAGAAGAAGGGAAGAAGAAGAAGAAGAAAAAAAAAAAAAAAAGAACUUCUCCAGAUUCGGAGGAAGAAGAAGAAGAAGAAGAAAAAGAAGGAGAAGGAGAAGAAGGGGAAGGGGAAGGAAGAAGGAAGAAGGAAGAAUGAGGAAGAAGAAGAAAGAAGGAAAAAAAAACGAAUCUGGGCAGAUUUGGAGGAAGAAGAAGAAGAAGAAGAAGAAGAAGGAAUAAGGAGGAAGGAGAAGGAAGUAGGAAAAAAAAAAUUCCCCAGAUUCAGAGGAAGAAAAAGGAGAAGGAGAAGGAGAAGGAAGAAGAAGGAAGAAGGAGAAGAAGGAGAAGAAGGAGGAAGGAAGAAGGAGAAGGAGGAAGAAAAAAAAAGUUUGCAGUCAGGUGGAAGAAGAAAAAGAAGAAAGAGAAAAAAAAAUCCCCAGAUUCAGAGGAAGAAAAAGGAGAAGGAGAAGGAGAAGGAAAAAGAAGGAAGAAUGAGAAGAAGGGGAAGGAAGAAGGAGGAAGGAAGAAGGAGAAGGAGGAAGAAAAAAAAAAAAGUUUGCAGUCGGGUGGAAGUGGAAGAAGAAGAAAGAAGAAAGAAGAAGAAGAAAGAGAAAAAAAAAAAAAAAUUCCCCAGAUUCGGAGGAAGAAAAAGGAGAAGGAGAAGGAGAAGGAAGAAGAAGGAAGAAGGAGAGGAAGGGGAAGGAAGAAGGAGGAAGGAAGAAGAGAAGGAAGAAAAAAAAAAAAAGUUUGCAGUCGGUGGAAGAAGAAGAAGAAGAAGAAGAAGAAAGAAGAAAGAAGAAAGAAGAAGAAGAAAGAAAAAAAAAAAAAAAAAAAAAACGUGGCUGACACGUGGCGCCACGUCAUUGUCCACAUGGACGCCACAUCACAAUUAACGGCAAAUUUAAUAGUUUGACUAACGGAUGUAUGAGACUGUCCCAAAAUUUACACUUUAGGUAUGACUCUGAGACGAAAAAAACUUAAUGUACUAAAUGUUGAAAACCAUGAAACAUGAGGGUAGUAAACAGUAUUUUACCCUUUUUUCUUACUUGUAAGUGAAGGUCUUAAGUUCGAUUUUCGCCAAAAACGAAGUUGAACCACAUUAUUACUAUCUUAUUGUGAGGCUAAGCAUAUCCCUUCCUUUUUAGUGUAGAUAAUAUUGUUUGUUAAAAAAAAUUGUAUUAUUUCAUUAAUAAAAAGUCGUCAAAGCAGCCGUAUCAAUUAAAAAAAUUAGCAAAAUUGUUGAAAACUUGUCGAACAUUCUUGUAUUUACUAAUUUCCGUGUGUGGAUAAGUUUUAGUUUACCUAGUACAAGUACAAAAGCAAUAAAAAAAAGGUAGGUAGAUCAUUUUGAUGUUCAUUUGGACAUUAUUCUAGCUUAGCUAGGAAAGAUCUAGAACCAAGUGCAUGCAUACGCAGUGUGGUGACAUUUUCAUUUUAUCCUACGUAUUUCCCACCCUUUUGUUUCAAGCAAAGGCCAUUGACAAUCCUCACAUGUCGGCUUGUCAUGACAUUAUUUAACUUCUAAGACGAAAAUUUUGAACUCUCGAAACUUUAUUUUAUCUAACUAAAAUAGUCAGUACAAUUUAACAGUAAAUAAGCACGUUAAUCUGUAUUAUCUAACAAAUAUUUAUCCUAUCCGACUGAAAUAGUCAGUAUAGUCCGAGCUGCCAAACGAGACCUUAGUAUAUAUCAUUUUUGUCCUUAAUUAUUUGCAAAAAAAUAGUAUCAAAUACACGAUUUGUAUUAUCUAUGUAUGAAAUUUUUGAGUAAGAUAUUAAAAUUUAGUGAUAACAAAGGCAUGUUGUUGGGGUCAUAAGCAUGCAUUGCUCUCACCCUGCCUCCGCUAGUGAUUCCACUGACAUAGCACACCACCGAUCGAUGAUACCUUGAAUCCUGUCAAUCACAAAAUAAUUUGAUGUUCAACAAAGGUUAGUUGUAGGGGUGGAGCCACUAAGAGAUCAAGGUGGUCUUAGGCCCAUCCUGACCAUUGUGUAAGAAAAUUUUAGCAAUCAAGCAUGCAACUGUGGAAUCGUAAGACAUGAAGAAAAAAAUGAAUUGCUCUCGUGGAGAAGUUGAGUUAAACAACAUCAUUUCUUAUAUUUUUCUAACAAUUUUGUUUGUUUUGUCUUUGUAGUUCAAUGAAACGAUGAGUUUAGGGAAUGGGUUUUAAAAUCAACUUUAAUGUUAUUCUAAACCAAUCUAAUCAACUAUUAUUUGUGGGGAUAAUACUAGGGAGACCAAAUUUUAAAACUAAAUUUUGUAAAUCAAAUGGUGUGGUUGAUGAUGAUUGGAUUAUUACUUAACUGUUGAUUAACAUUCUUAUUUUCUAUGGAUAACACAUCAUUUAAUUUGCAAGUUUAAUUUAAAAUUUUGGUCAACCUAGCAUUACCCUAUUUGCAACUGUCCUUUUUUUUUUUUUGUCAAACAAUUCAAAUCAGAUUUCCUUGUAUUUUCUUUCUAUAAUGCCAAUUUUUUUACUGGUUACCUGCUAUCUACCUCCCACUUAAUUGUAUUGGACAAUUAUUUUGAUUCUCUCUAUUAAAUUUAAUGUUUCUUUUAGUUUUGUGAAAAUUAUCUCAAUUGCUCAUGUUAUGAGUUUGAAUUUUUUUUUCUCAACACCUAUAUGAAAGGCCCUUCGCCCCCCUAUCAUAUAGAAUUCUGACUCUGCCAUAAUCACUAAUAAACCAUAGUUUAACAUAGACGCAAUAAUUAGCACUCUAAAAAGGUUAUCAUGCAUGCAUGCCACUGUAAUUAGUUUUAGAAAGAAAGAGGGGAGGAAUCCAAGAUGAUUUGCUUGAAGUAUGUCACUAGUAAUAUGAUCCAACGAUACUCUCUCAUUUAUAAGUGAGAGGCGUGGAACAAAAAAUAAUCUCAAAAGUCCAGAAGAUGACACAUGGGUUUUUCUUGGAAUUCUGCUUUUCACUCUGGUACUGCACCAAAUAUUUCACUAAAUCAGACCAGCUUAAUCUAGUUUAAACUAGUCUAAUCUGAAAUAAUCCGACGUAAUAAACGCACUCCCCAUUUUACCAAUUGAUUUAUGGCGGAAUCUCAACUUUCAUUGUAUGAUUUAAAAUUCUCCCAAAAAGUAAAAAGUUAUUUCUACCAAGUCCGGAUCCUUGCCGGAUCGAGGAUCCCGGGAAUCCGUAAAUCAUAUAUGUUCAUCGUACAUCAUGUAGUCAUAAAUUAUUUUAAAUAUUUUUAUUUAAAAAUAAACAUAAACAGUACUUACCAAAAAUUGAUUGCACGAUGUACGAUUUAUUCUCACCAAAAGAUCCGGAGAGGAUCCUGUUGGAAUUCUGCCAUUCUGAACCAAGAAAAUGUCAGUUCCUUUACAUGAGUUUAAACCAGCUGCAAGUUGCAACAGCUCUCCGCUUUCUCUGUCUCGAACAGAAUUUGUCACCAUUUUACACUCUCAAGCAACCCAGAAGGUUUUCUGUUCCUCUACACCCUAAACUUUAAUUGAAAUUUUCAAUUGAAAAUUUACCCAAAAAUUGAACCCAUGUGUUCUGAAGAAACCUUUUUGCUUUUUUCUUCCACUGCUCUUUGCUUCUGCUCCUCAACUGUAAGUUCUUCCGCUGCAACUUUUUUCUAGUUCUCCUUUUAAUAUUUGGAAUUUCUAUGUCUUAAUGAACACUUUACUGGGUAUUUUUCUUUGAAUGCUGUUAUUGGAUUCUACGUGUUCUGAUUAUGUUUUGAAGAAAAAGAAAUUAUUUUUCUUCAGUUCUAACGGCUGCUGUCACUUGCUCACAUUUUACUUCUUAUCAAGUUUGUUAAUUUAUAAUGUUUGUUUUAUUUUUGUUCAUUGUCCGAGAUUGUUAACAAUUUUCUGGAUGAAUAGUUUCAAGUUUUGGACAUUGGUCUCGUAUGAAUUGUCCGUUUUAUUCCUUCAAGUUAGAAGACAAUGUCCGUAUUCUUCCUUGAUUGCACAUGAAAUCUAGUUGUAUUGCUAGUCUAGUCUAGUCCUGCAUAUCGAAUGCCAGCAAAAAGUAUUUCAAAAACAACUGAUCUUAUGUAGAGAAGAGGCUUUUCUUCAAUAGUACGUACAAAGCGCUUGCCGCGACGCACUUCAAUAAGCGACUCUAUGAGUCUGUGAGCUGUUGGAACCAUGUCACGGAUCAUAGAUAUGCCAAUAAAUCACCAAUACUACCAACAAACAAUGUGAACAACAGAACCAUAAACCUCAGUAUAAAAUCAGUCAAAACAUACCUGCAGAACUUGAACUCGAAGAAGCCAUAGUAACUUCACCACCAGACAAUCUUCUCCUCUUUAGCAAAACUAGAGAGCUCUUUGAACAAUAGGUAUUCAAUACAAGAUGAGCCGUAUCUUUGCAAGAGCAGUGAUUGUGGUUAAAUACAGCAUUAAUCCAACACAUUCUCCUAUUGGAAUUAGUGUUGGACUCUAAAACAAAAACCAUUUUACACAAUGAGUGCACAAGAACAAUCCGAGAAGGAUCCAAAACCUUUUCCCAAAGGAACACUAAAAACACUCAUAAUCCUACAAGAAAUAGGAUUUACACAAAUACUUUUCCAUUCAAAAUUCAUCCAAUAUAACAGCUAAUCCACAAUCAUGUUUUUAUACUCAUAUUCUAACAUGAGCCUCAUAAAUUUCUAAACUCUAGUUAGAUACUGAAGAAAACUUAUUUCUGAUACAAUCAUGUGUACAGAGUUACAAUGUAAAUUGUAAAGGAAAUAUGGUCUUGACAGUUGUUAACUUUGGCUUGAAAUGCACUUUGAUCAUCAGAGUAUGACCAUAAACCUGAACUGGAAGUAGUCUUCAGGUGAUUAAUGCCUUGUAAUGGACUUCCUACUAGGCGCUGGAGGAACUGUGGGAUUGGGGGUAUGCCAACAUCUGAAACUCCCUCAAGAAUUUGAACAACCCGCCUCAUCGUUGGUCUAUCCUUCUCAUCUUCUUGAAUGCACCAACAAGUGACUUUGCAUGCUUUAGCGAGUUCAUCUUUGUCAGCACAGCCUUCCAACCUGUAGUCCAACAAUGUAACGACAUCUUCUCCUUUAUUAACUACAUUUGUAACCCUGAUAGGACGGUAGUCUUCUAACCCCUCAUCUAACCCUUCUCUGUUUCUCCUACCUGAUAUAACCUCAAUCAGCAACAUGCCAUUAGCUAAAGACAUCAGCUUUUGGCAUGAUGGCUUCACCUGAAAACCAUUCUGGUGUAAGAUAACCUACAGUUCCUCUUAUGGUUGUCAGAACGCGACUGUGGUGUCUUCCGACAAGUUUUGCUAGACCAAAAUCAGCCAGUUUUGGAUUGUAUUCUGCGUCCAACAAAAUGUUGUCGGGCUUAAUAUCACAGUGUAUUAUGCAGUCUCGCACUACUCAUGUAGGUAAGCCAAUCCUCUGGCAAUCCCCAUGGCAAUAUGAUAUCUGUCUUUCCAAUCUAACAUUAGUGCAUUCUCUUGAUGAAAAAGAGAUUGCAGAGAACCAUUUGGCAUGUACUCAUAUACCAAAAGUCGUUUUGAAGUUUCUGCGCAAAAUCCCCAAAGGCGAACAAGAUUAAUGUGGUGGAUUGUGCUAAUUGUCCCCACUUCAGCGUGAAAUUGCUUCUCUCCCUGCUCCAGAUAUUUAAGUUCUUUCACUGCUAUGGCAGUUGAAUUGGGCAAUAUCCCCUUGAAAACAGAACCAAAACCUCCUUCCCCAAGUUUUUUUUAGAAGUUCUUAGUUGCUUUUCUUAAAUCUCUAUACUUGAACAACACCAAGGAAUCCUGAACUAUUGCCGAUGUUCCUUUUGACCGCUUCCUUUUGAAAAAUGCAAUGAGAAUCGUUGAGAUUGAAAGGAACCCCACAAAUACUACAAUAGCAAUCCAAGUAGUCUUUCUCUUAACCUUGUUGGUAGAAUCUGCAACUCGUAUAUGAAUUUUUAUGCCAUCCAUUAGUUUAGUUACAGAGUAUGGUAGUUGAUACAGAUCGAAUACAUCCCCUUUCCAAAUCAUACAGUCGUUAUUGUAAGCGAAGGCAGUGAUCGAGCAAUCUCUUGAGCAUGCUAAUCUACAUUCCUCAAUGCUUUUAAACUUUAACGAUUCAGAAUUUUGGGAAUAAGAAACAUCAGGUACUCCCAAAAAUUUGUGAUUUCCUACAUCACUGCACUGCAAAGGAGUUUUCCUCACACAACCAUAAGAAUAACCUCCAAAUUCCCAAUCUUCUGGGAUUUUGGGUUCAAAUCCUUCCAAGCAUCGACAAUGAGGCAAAUUCUGAAAGUCACAGAUACUAAAAGCACCACACGAAACAUCGUUAGUACAUUGUCCAAGAGCACCCCAAGUGUCUAUUGUCUCACUGCCGUUAUAAAACUUGAGUAGACCAUUCAAAAGUUUAUAUCUCACAAAUGAAUUAGGAUCGAUGGGAACAUAAGUUAAAGAGCUUUCAUUCUCAUUUACAUCAGAAUUCAAAUUCACUUGACAAUAAAAGCAGUAGUGAUUGUCACCUUGCCAAUCCCAAAUACUAAUGGCGGAACCAUUUCGAAAUAAGAAAACCCUGCUUCCAGCUUGUUCUAUCUCAAGUGAAAAUAUUCCAGGGGCUGGAUUUUGUGGGUUUCUCCAGGGAGUAAGGAUUAGCUUUUCCUUGGUAAGCUUAUUAUAUCCAAGCUUGGCACCUGGAAGCCAAGUGUCAGUGGGGUGAUCAAAACUCUGCCAUAAAACGGCGGAUGAAUCAGAUUCAUCACUGAUGACGAAGUUCCCGUUGUCAAGAAGCACUGCUAUGGUGGAAUUAGAAACCGCUGCCGCAGAACGAGUUGACCAAAUUGUAUAUUUGGUUCGGUCCAGCAACUCUAAGCUUCCAUUUCGGAAGAGUUGCAAUGCCGAAGAAUAUGAAUCAGAAGCAGGUUGUUUUCUGUUUGUUACCCAAACUACUGUUCGAGGGCGGAGAUUUUUGUACCAAAUGCCUACGUAAUAGUUUCGAGAGUCACCUGUUGUGAAGAAACCCAGCUCAAAUCUGUCACCUGGAGAGGUGAGUGUUUGGCUUCCACAAAGAGAUUGGCCUGCUUAGAUGGUGUCAGAUGCCAUGGAAAUUCCAUUGAAGGUGAAACAUAACAGAAGCAGAACAACAGACUGGGAAAUGAAGUUAUUGUUGCUACUGAUAUCCAUCUCUUCAAAGAGUCAGAUUUUCUGCAAGCUGAUGCCAAACUUGACUCUUCCUCUCCUAUUUUUGUUGCUAUGAAUGGAGCUUAACCAGAAUUAGGUAGAUUACUAGUUGGAAGUCGUCAAGCCAACCAAGCCAACCAAGUCACCAGUCCAAGAUCAUUAAAUUUUACUUGGCAAUGCCAAAUAUCUCCGUCGCAAUAUAUGAAAUGUAUGGAAAUUUCUCCCCCGGACAUUUUUUUCAUGAGUGAACGGUUGAUUUGAACUAAUUGAAAUUGAGUUAAGUCUCAACAGUGCACACGUUAAAAAAAAAUGUGCAAAUGAGCAAAGCUCGUGAAAUGUAUAUGUAAGUUUUGCUUCUACACACAGGAAAAUUGUAAGGCCAACCGGCAAACCAGGUGGUUGUGUGACCGUAUACAAACUAGGCCUCUCUGUGAUGCGUAAUAACGAGCUAGACCAACCCAUGAUCUCACGUUUGUGAGACAAGGGCCGCAUGUGAAUGGUUGUACAUAAAAAUUUGCCCUACUUAGGCUAUGCAAUGCAUGGAUUUAGUGGCAAAUAUAUAUAUAUAUAUAUAUAUAUAUAUUAUGUUAUUUUUGCUGAGAUUCUUUAAUUUCUUCUGUAUAAAUAUUUUUUCUUUUGUUGAUCUUAGCCAAGAAUUGUGCCACUUUGGUGUGUAUCUAUAGGCCUUUUAGCCCAGAUGAAAGGAAAAUAUAUCAAUAUUUGGGCCUUUUUGACUUUUCAGUUGGGCUUUCACAACCUUAGCUAAGAACUGAAAACCCUAAAAUUGAAGCAGUUUUCGGAAGAAACCCUCCACUUAAUGUUUUAAACUGUAUAACUUUCAUUUUCACACUCAUUGCCCGAUAUUUUUAGAAUGCUUAGGACCUGUUUGGUAUUUUAUUUGAAUUUUUUUAUCAUUUAUCAAAAAGACUUAAAAAUUUGAUUGGUUUGUGAUUUAAAAAUUUUAAAUCUUACAACUUAAACUAGACAAAGAGAUCUAUAAAGAGGGGGUCGUAGGAGAGGGAGAAAGAAAGAGGAGAGAGGAGGAAAGAAAGUAAAAGAUGAUUGAAGGAAAGAGAAAGAAGAGAGAGGAUCAGACGAGGUUGAGAGGAAGAGGAGUGAGAGAAACAACAGAGAGAAUGAAGAGAGCGGAUUGGAGGAGAGACGAAAAAGGUAAAAAAAAAAAAAGUAGAGAUAAAGAAGAAAAGGAGAGAGAUAGAUUUGAAGAGAGAGUGAAGGAGGAAGACAAAAUAAAGGAGCGAGUUUAAGUUUAAAAUUUCUAAAAACUCACUUUUUAUGUUUUUAAAGAAUAGAUCAUAUUUUUUAGUUAGUAUUGAGUUCAGUUUUUGAAAAUGGUCUUACCAAACAAGUUUUUAAGGCUUAAAACUUGAAAAUUGUUUUUGAGUUUAAAAAGUUGGAUUCAAGUAGAGUACCAAACAAUCCCUUAUUUUCUUGUGGACAUGAACACGAAUGCUUAGGAGAUAUUCAGGAAUGUGGUUCAGAAAAUUAUGGAAUGUAGAUGGUGAGAAUUUUGUGAGUUUUUCAAGGCUAAUCAGAAGAUAUGCAUCAGUUUCAAGCAGAACUGUGAUAGACAUGGCUGUUAGAGAUGGGGAGUUGAGGGUUUUCUUAGUUUUUGGAGAGGUUUCUGGGGGACACGACUGCCUCUCGUCUCAUGGCAUCUCUGAAGAAUCUAUUUCCGGUUCCUGACCGCUUUUCCGGCGUUGGAGGGUAAACUUUUACUUUCUCUGCGGUCUUUAUUGGAAUUUGUAAUUCUUUGCAGAAGUCCUUUUUCAUAGGUUUAUGUUAGUAGCCUUUGUGUGUGCAUUUAUGUAAUUGAGCUAUUUUCCUUUUCUUAAGGAAAUACAAUCUUCACAUGGAUAACAUUUUAGACAAUUUGGACAAAUCUGUGGUUUUCAAAAUUUUUGUUGUUUGAAUGAUAUUGGUUAAAUGAGAUAUGGUGUUGUGUCCACGAUGUGUUUAGGUUGAUGAUGACUAAUCAAGGAUUAAAGUCGCUGUUUCCGAUGGAGGAUAUUGCCGUGAUGGGAUUAUUGGAGUUAUUGCUUAGUCUGAAUAUGAUCAGAGUGAGUUUGAGCUACAUAUUAAGACUUUACUAAACAAAUUCGACGAUAGAUAGUGUUCUAUCUUUAUGUGUUACUUAGCAUCUUUCAGUACAAGAGAAAAAAGUUGUUGCAUUCUGUCAUCUUAUUUGGUCAAUGUAUUGGGCCAGGUGAAGCUGCAGGAGACAAUAGAGGCUGCUCUUCGGUUUCAACCUCAUGUUGUUGUGACUGUGGAUUCCAAGGGUUUCUCUUUCCGUCUGUUAAAACAGUUACGGGGUAAUGUAGACCACCUCCUCGGUGUUAUAAUCAGACUGUAGUGAUACAAUCGACAGGGAGUAAAUGCUCCGGUACACUUCCAUUAUGUAGCACCAUCAUUUUGGGCUUGGAAAGGGGGUGAAGCAAGACUCCGAGGCCUGGUUCAAUUUGUGGAUCAUGUCUUGUGUGUACUUCCAAAUGAAGAAGAAGUUUGCAGAUCAAAUGGACUGGCUGCAACCUUUGUAGGCCACCCCAGUUUGGAGGAUGUUUGGGAGUUGAAUUCGGUAUGAUUUUGUGUACAUAGUUGUCAUUACAGAUCAUUCUUAAGAUUUCUGAGAUAUUUAGUUUCACGCUCUUUCUUCUAAACAGUUGAGAACAAUACUAUGGAACCAUCUGAUGCUGUUUAAAUUGACUUUUCUUUUAAGUUUCAAGUACUAAUACACAAUCUUGUGUAUAGAAGGAAACUUCACCCCAUGAAUGGAAGAUGGAAGAUACAAGGAAACUGCGAAGAUUUCCGAAGGAAAUAUGCAAUGCCUGCAGGUAAACACCUAAGAGUAAUUCUCUUUUGCAGUAACUAAGAGUAAUUCCGUUACAGUGGCCUAAGAAUCGAGGUUCCACAAUAAACCCUUUUCUGAAAACUUCUUGCUCCAUCAACCGACUAUUUCUUCCCCUUUCUUCUCCUUUUUCCAAGCCCCAAAUCAUUUUUGACGAGCUCCUUUCUGUGCGUGUGCACAUUUCUUACUCUUUCCCAAUUGAAAUCUUCUUUUAAUAUUCUGGGAUUUUAUUUUGCAAAGGAGCCAAAGUCAUUUCCUUGCUUCCUGGAAGCAGAUUACAAGAGAUCACCAGAAUGCUUUCCAUCUUCACAUACGCUAUGGCAUUAUUACAAGUGUCAUUUCCCAAGUAAUUAACAGUCAUCCAUGUCGCUCCCAAUCAUCAUGUGAAGAACUAUGUCACCUGAAUCACUAACAACUUGUUAGUGAUUCAGUGUGAGUGCAAAAACCUAAAAGAGCACUUUGGAUGAUAUAAAUUGUAUUUACGUGUGCACUCUUUCAGCGUGUUGGUAGAAUGUGAAAUUUGUCUCUUCGUUGGAUUGCCAGUGAAGCACUUAACACGGGCAUCUAACAGAGCAUGAAUCUGAGCAUCUGAAACCAAGUUUUCGGAAGUUCAUGUCUGAGCAUAUCUGAAUAUGUCUAAUCUAGCUCAAAUUUGUUACGAAUAUUAAAUUGCAGGCAAGUAGUGUUGCGUUAUGUGCUUCUGGAACAGUUGCUUUGGAGAAGCAGGUUGCACGGCUGCCAUGUGUAGUCGCUUAUUCUCAUUUCCUAACUGAGUUGAUUAUUCGUUAUGAAGCCAAGGUACCCAUCGUCUCCCUCCCAAAUGUUCUCAUGGAUUCCCCUAUUGUGCCCGAAGCUCUCUUUCAAGCGUGUACUCCGACAAACCUAGCCUCAUUGAUGUUGUAAGUUACAUUUAAGCAUGACAUCUUCAAAUUUUGGUUUAGUUACUGUAAUACUGGAUAUUUUAAGUACAAAGCUUUGGUAUUUCCCUAGCUAGUUCGCACAUAAAUCAAGUAUAUUUGAUCCAUCACAGGGAUUUGAUACAUGACAAUGGCGUCUGAGAAAAACAGAUUGUUGCUGCGGAAAAGGUUUAUCAGACUUCUCUGUGCUCCGGCCCGAAAUUUAGAUCCGUUGGCAGAGCAGCAUCAAGGAGGGAGUUUUCCCCAUAACACAACGAGUAUGAUAGCAGCUACUGCAAUACUGCACCAUGCAAAGCCUCUGUGGGAUGUCAUUAUUUAUGUACAAAAUGUUAUACAAAUGUUUAAUAUCUCACCGAUGUAUCUUUUGGCUUGAUUCGAAUUAAAGGUGGAGAGUUUGAUUUUCGUUCUUUGCUCGAUUGGAGGUGUAUUAACACAGAUAAUGUAACAUCAAAAUUGCAAAUUUAAGAAGCAACCCCAAGUUGAUCGGUUUUUCUUUUGACAAAGGUUUUUCGAGUUUGUCGAAAUAAAAACAGAUCGGACAUGGACAUGAGAUUGACAUAUGUUCGGAAAAUAUUAUAAACAUAAGUGCUAAAUUACUUUUUUUUUUCUUUUUAAAAAAUGGGGCAACUAGUGGCAAGUCACAAUGAUCCACCCAUUCCAGGGGCCGGGAAGACUCACAGAGUGCAUUUCAGCUUUCCUUGGUCACAAGUCUGGCUUCCAGAACAGCAAUGGGUUUCGAACCCGAGACAUCCAAUUUUUAGUUUUAAGGAAGUUUUGUAAUCCGUCAUUUACCAUUGGGUCACCAGCUCGUAGUUAAGCGCUAAAUUACUUUGCUUGCUUGAACUUGUAUAAGUAAAUAACUAGGUAUAUUUCUAGUUCAUUAUAAAAAAUAAAAAAUAAAAAAAUAAAAAAAACUUAAAAAGUUCCCUAGCUGACAUGCAUGCAAUAUAAAGUCGGAUCAAAUUAUCAUCAGCCGAUUAAUCUGAAGUCUUGUUUGAUUUGUUAAGAUAACGAAUUCGGACCAAAUCACACCUAAGAAAACAAAAUCUAAGACAAUGCUAACAGUGAUUCAAAUAACAAGGCAGACAUAUAGGACAUUCUUCCACAUCAAAGCCACAAGACUUGCUCAACUCCUAAUUACAAACUCAAGGCCACAAAAAAAAAAACUCACUUCUUAUUUUAGUAAACAACGCUCACUUUAAAAUCCCCACAACUCCUUCAGUCACAUUGCACGCUAUCAAACUCCACAGAAACCUUAAAAUCUGAAAUUUCCACACGCAAUCCCUCGCCAAAGAAAAAUCCCUUUUCGUUACUACAAUGGCUGUAUCAAGGGGACUGCUUUUGCUUUGCCUAGGGACACUCUUGGUCAGUGUGUUCUUAGUCAAGGUGGCUGAGGCUAGUGAGGACCAUGGCGACUGCCACGGUGACCCGAACAAUGGGGACCAAUGCCAGGAGCAUGAGAGUGAUGUAAUUGGGGACGAUGAUGUGGAUGACACAUACAAGAUUGUGAACAAGGUUGCAGUGACUUUUUCGGCCAGAACCGGCGAAGUUGAGCCAGAUGCAGCCGAAGCAUCAGACCCAGAUGAUGCUGAAGAUAAUGAAUCGAGUCAUAUCAUUGUAAUGGGACACUGAUUAGCCAAAUGGGGAUAGCUAGGUAACCUAGCUAGCUUGCUAGGGUUACGGCAGUGCUCUGCAGGGUUAUGGUUUUCGCAUUCGUUUCAUACUUUUUUUCUUAUAUUUUGUUUUAGCAUCGCGUUUUCUUCCUUUUGAUGAGUUUGUCAUAAACAAUUUCGUUCUUAGUCGCUUGUUGGUUAUUUAAGUCAUUCUUCAACUCACGGUUCAAUUCUUUUGAUCACAUAUGUAGGAGUAAUGUUAUUCAUACCAUGUUUUUUACUAAAUUUUCAUACCAUCUUAGGUGGCAUUUGAUGUGGACAGUCACAUCAUUUGAAUUAAUCAAAUUUUUAAAUUUAAUUCAUUAUCUAAUAAACUAAUAAUUAAGAAAAACUAGUUAAUUAAAUGAUGAUUGUGGUGUAUGAUGAGUUUUUCUCCUUCAUUUCCUUAGAUUUUGCAAAUUUUUCAAAUGAUAUGGCUGUCCAUAUCAGAUGCCACCUUAGGUGGUACGAAAAUGUGGUACAAAAACAUAGUAUGAAUAGCAUUACUCCAUAUGUAGACUUGGUCUCGAUAGAUUGACCAUUUAAUCUCACCCUUAACUUGUGUAAUAGAGAUGAGACUUAUUUAUGUUGGUAGAUCUCAUUUUAAAUUAAAACAUGAUCACUAAUAUUGUAAAAUAAAUGAUAGUAAGCUCAUUACACUAACACCCUUCAAGUUUUAAAUAAACUACCGAUAGUAAACUUUUUUAUAAAUAAAAGAAUACUUUUUUUAAAAAAAAUAAAAGAAUACUUUUUUAUAAAUAAAUAUUUUUAUAUGUAUAAAAAAAAUUAAAAGAGAAAUAAUCAAUUUUUUUUUCCAAUUCUCAGAAAAUCAUCAGCCUAAUUGGCAGCAAUCAAAGUAAUUACAACCCUGAUCACUCAAUCAACUUAAUCACAGAUAAUUACAAUAAAUUAAGAUCAAUCAAUUCCUUCCACCAUAUUUUUGCACACACGCGAUUCUUCCUAUAAAAAUUCCAGAAAACUCACCCUAUGCAACUAUAGAAAUGGAUGCGUCCAAGGCAAUGACUGUUUUGUCCCUAGGCGCUCUCCUUGUGUGUAGUUGAAGUAGAAGUGUAGGUGUAUUUUUAUAUCAAUUGUGGAGACGACCAUUUAGGAUAGUAAAAUCUGCAUUAAACCGGGAUUCAUGAGGAUAUUCAGGAAGUAGAUAUUAUAUUAUUUUAGGAGUAUGAUUACUUGCGGUGCACGUCAAUCUUUAUACUAUAAGGAUUCCAAGGUUAUAGCAAACAUGUUGAUUCCUUGUUGGGUUAAGUUCUCGAAUUUUGCGAAACAAGAAUGGUCUAUCUCGACGAAGUCGAAGGACUUCACCCACUGAUUCCGAAACAGGCUGAUGGUGACAUCACUACCCGUUUAGUCAACUCCGCUAUGGAAGCUAUUGAGUCCAUGACUGGAUUUCUAAGGUAGGCGUAUUCCAAUCUGCCUUACUCCGGCUCUAGAAAAUAUGUGCCACGUAAAUGUGACUUUUUGUAAGUUGAGAGGUGCAUGAUAUUGAUAUAUAUGUGCUAUUAUUGUUGCUUUCUUUGUUGCGGAAAAUGAUCAUUGCCGAAUUCUUUUCCUGAGGAUUUCAAGGAUCUGGUUAUCGUAACUGUUCAUCGUACAUUGUAUGAUCAGUUUUUGUUAGAUACUAUUUAUAUUUAAUUUUAAAUUUCAAAUAAUUUAUAAAUACACAAUAUACGAUAAAUAGUCACGAUCACAGAAUUCUCGAGAUCCCAAAAAAAGAAUUUGGCGAGAAUCAUUUUCCUUUGUUGCGAUGCGAUGAGACUCGUCUUUUGACUUGAGGGGAAGACAAUGGUCAGAAUUUGCUUGAGAAAACUGAUUUCCAAGUACCAAGACAUCAUUCAAUCUCACAUGGUUUUUGACACUACUCCCUCCAGACGCAUCAUCCUUUCAUUUGAAAGUUUCUAAGUUGACAACCCUAGCUAGCUAGCUCUACUGUUCUUGUUUUUUGUUAAACAGCUAGCUCUACUGUUUUUAACUCACAUACGUGUUUAGUUAUUCGGAAAGGGAUCAUAUUUGGAUCUCUUCUAUCAAAUUCACCUAAAAAAUCAAUUUAGAUCCUUGAAAUUUGAUCCAACGUCUAUAAAUAGGGGGUUUUUUUACAAAUUAUAAUAACUUGAGUCGUUGGAUCCAAUUUUAAGAACUCAAAUUAGGUGAUUGUCGUGUUCAAUCUAACUCCUCUUUUAGAAAAAGUUUGGCAAUUGUCACAUUCAUAUAUGUGGUGUUAUAUAAUUAUAUACUAGCCUCUAUCCACGCACCUUCAAAGAUUUUGAAUGCUUUUGGGUUAAGUCUACAUAUUUGAUUUAAUCAAAUAAUAAUGUUUUUUUUUUCCCGAAAUCAAAUAAUAAUGUUAGGUACCCUAAUUUUGUGCAGCAAAUGAUAUGUUACCGAUUAAAUUUGUACUUUAAUUAAAGUUAAAAUUUGAUUAGUCAUUGAGAUACAAAGUUAUAAGGUAAAAGUACAUUUUGGCCCUCAAGUUUUUCGUCCAAUUUUAAAGUCAUACAACGUUUUUAAUUUUUUUAAAUUUCAUACAACGGUUUACAAUUUCAUAAUCAAAUCGGUCUCUACAGAAUUUACAUUAAGAAUAAAGAAAAUAAUAUUUAAUAAAUAAUUGAUUGAAUCAUAUUAUUGCUAGUAUAUUGCGAGGCUAAGCCCACUUCCUUCUCCCUUAGUGUAGAUAACAACGUUUAUUAAAAAAAAAACAAUUAUUUGACAAUUAAUUUAAUCAUAUUAUUAUCCGUGUACAAAAGACCCUUUACAACUUAUUUAAUCAUAUUGUUACCCGUGUGCGAAAAAUAUUUUUUAUUAUUUUCUCUCUUCUCACUUAUAUUUAUAUUAUAUUUUAUGAUGAUCAAAUUACCAAAUUACCCCUGCAUUAUUUGAUAUAUUAUAUUGGGUUGCAUUUAGAUUUUUUUUAUUGAGGGGCAAUUUUGUCCUAAGAUUUUUGUCGAAUGGUACCCCAAAUUUUUGUCGGCAUGCGUGGGGCACUGGCUUUCCAUUAUAUAUAAUAAUAAUAUAAUAAGAUAGAUACAAAGGGUCUUCAGUUCAUGCAUUGUUCACCAAAAGGGAUCUAUAAAUGGUUUAAGUAGUUUAAAAGGGCCAAUAAUAUAGAGGCCGCAUUUUAUUUUAAUGUUUUAUUUUUUCCCUUGUUUAAAAUAUGUAUAUUUCAAUCUAUAGAUUUGUUAGAUUAUAUGUUAGAUUAGGAAGCUGACGAAGUUUGAACCCACAUCAUAGGGUAAGGGCUAUUAACAAAGAGAAAGGAAAGAAUAGCUUGUGAAAAACUAGAGAGAGAAAGAAACCAAAGAGAAUACUAAACUGUUCAAUUUCUUUAGAGAGAUGAAAAGAUGAUUACAAACGCCUUACACAUUUCGUUUAUGUAGAGAAACUAACUGUUACAAAAGUACAAUACUACCCUUCUCAUAUUCUUUAUCUUUCUAACAACCCAAUCCUACUUAACAAACUUACAACUGUAUAACCAACUAUUAUGAUUAUUACUCCCCCCUCAAACUAAGCAUGGAGCAAUCAAGCUUAGUUUGCUGCACAAGUGGUGACAAUCCCAAACCAAGAAACCUGCAAUGCUUCAAGAAAACAGGACUAUGUAAUCCUUUGGUGAAUACAUCAGCAACCUGAUCAUCUGUUGGAAUAUAAUGAACACUGAUGUCACCUUUUUGUACCUUUUCUCUAACAAAAUGGUAAUCUGUAUCAAGGUGUUUGAUCUUAGAAUGAAACACCAGAUUAGAACUUAAGGCAAGGGCUGACAGGUUAUCACAAUGAAGAGCAGGAGGACUAGGAAGAAAUUGAUGAAUAUCUUUGAACACAGAUCGAAUCCACGACACAUCAGCUGCACAUUGUGCCAAAGCUUUGUAUUCAGCUUCAGUAGAACUUCUGGAUAUUGUAGAUUGCUUCUUGGAUUGCCAUGAAACAGGAUUAGAUCCAAUAUAGACCACAAAACCUGAAAUUGAUCUUCUAGUGUUAAUAUCUGCAGCCCAAUCAGAGUCGAAAUAGGCAGUGAUGUGAACAUUUGAACUUUUUGUAUAGCGUAAACCAUAGCUGAUGGUUCCCUGAAUAUACCGGAGUAUUCUUUUGACCAGAUGAAAAUGUGCAUCAGUUGGUUUUGUCAUAAAUUGACACACCAUAUUCACUGAAUAAGCAAGAUCAGGCCUUGUGAAUGUCAAAUACUGAAGGGCACCAACAAUACUUCGAUAUUGACUUGGAUCAGAUAACAAUGUACCUUCACCAGCAAGAAUCUGUGUGUGUGGCUUGGAAGGAGUAGAUGUGGGCUUACAGGACUCCAUGCCUGCCUUUUUCAACAAGUCUGCUGCAUACUUGGAUUGGUUAAUAAACAGAGACCCAUCAUCAUUGUAAUGAAUAUGUAAACCCAAGAAAUAGCUUAAUCGCCCCAUAUCUUUAAGGUCAAACACUUCUGCCAAGUUGUUGAUUAUUCCUUGUACCUUUAUGGAAUUGGAACCAGUAAGGAUGAUAUCAUCCACAUACAACAGUAACAAAAUAAUAUCUUCAUUAUCAGUCUUGACAAAUAGACUUGUAUCAGAAAGUGAAGGUGUAAACCCAAGUGCUGGAAGAUAGCUUGUAAACUUGGAAUUCCAAGCCCUAAGAGCCUGUUUUAAACCAUAGAGAGAUUUCACUAAUUUGCAAACAUGAGUUGGAUUCUCCUUAUCAACAAAACCUUGGGGUUGCUGCAUAUAUACCUCAUCUUCUAACUUACCAUGUAAAAAUGCAUUUUUGACGUCCAAUUGUCGCAAAGACCAACCAAACUGAGCAGCAAGUGCAAGUAUAAUCCUGACUGUAGUAUGUCUAACAACAGGACUAAAAGUUUCAGAGUAAUCAAGACCAUGUUCUUGUGUAAAUCCCUAGGCAACCAAUCGGGCUUUGAAUCUGGAAAUAGACCCAUCUGGAUUCUUCUUGAUCUUAUAAACCCACUUACUACCAAUUAUCAUUCUAUGUGAUGGAGGUGGAACUAAAAUCCAAGUUCCCUGAGCUUUGAGGGCAUCAAAUUCCUCCUGCAUUGCAUUAUGCCAUUCUUGCUUACUGGCAGCACCUUUGAAAGUUUUUGGUUCUUCAUGAUCAGAAACAUGAGCAAGAAAUGAAAAACCAGCUUGAUAUGGAUGUAAACAUUGAUUAUCAGAACUACAAUCCAUGAGUUGUAAGGAAGACAACUCAGGUAGUAAUGCCAGAUAGUUAGUAUAAAUUUUCCUUGUGAUUGCACCUGCUUGUAACCGAGUCUGCAUCCCAUGAGAUCGUAUCGGAACAUUAUCUGAUGCACUAGAUGAAGAGGAAGCAUCGAAAGGUAGAACUACCUGUAACUGUGCAGGAUCAAAGACAGGAAGCAAGGGAGGUGUAUCAUUGUGAGAUGAAAGAGUAAGGCCUGUUGGUGAUGCCGAUUCAUUGUCCUGAGAAUCGGAGACAACUGCAAUAUCAUUGUGUGAGAUAGAUGGAGACUGAUGUUGACUUACAUUGACCUCAGCUGAACUAGAAGCUUGUGCAAGCACCUGAGACUCAUGAAUUGGACUAUUGACAUACUGUUUGGGCCCAAAAUAACAGUUUGGGCCGAGUGUAGGGUCAUUCUCGGCCCUGGAGGCCUUGCGGCAAGAAUAUCACGGAUCGUUCAGUAUGUGGGCCUCCAAACCCAGGUCGGCUAGGUCAUAACGCAAGAGGUCGAAUCCUAGUGCAAUAAGGACUCUCGACGAGGUCAAUAACCUAGAAAGCGAAUCUGGCUCAGUUAAGGACUAGAUUCGUAGUCCUAGCGGAGAUAGGACUGAUCGAGGGGAUGUUAAUCCGGAGAAGGAGACCUAGUCCGAAUAGGAUUGAAACUCGGGCUCGAUGUGCUGCUACUAUAAAUACAAGCCAUUCAGCAACUGUGAGAGCCCCUGCAAAUCAAUACAAAAUUACCCUGCGCAAACUCUCACAACUUGUGAUUUUUCUUUUCCCUUUUUCGCUGACACAUCUUCCGUUAGCAUUAACAGCACUGUGGAAGCAACCGGUGAUAUCUUAAGUCGGCAUAGAUAGCUCUGUCACCGUAGAGUCAGUCGGUCUCGCAGUAUCUUCCGUUGGCAUCAACAGCACUGCGGCGAGAACGAUUGAUUACCUAUCCAAGUCUCGGUCGAGAAGGGUUUCUAAAUCCUUAUUGGUCGAGGUCAUCUCAUCAGCCUUCUCGGCGAAGUGAGGUGUUACAGUUAUUACAUUCGGCACAUUGAAAGCCGAAUUUGAUAUUGAACUUCGUAAGAAUAGUAACCUUGUCUUCAGGUUCGAGAGCCCAAGAGGCCGAGACGUGUUCCUUUCUCGGCCGCAAUCGCAAGACGCAGAAGUCAGUAGCGCGACCCAACGCAACAUCAACAAAUUUACUCCUCGGCCGAGCUCGGCCGACGAGUUGGCACGCCCUGCAUUCACCGAAGGACGUAGUUAGCUCAUUAAUUACUCGGCCUGCGCGCCACGUAGGCUUUGUAGUUUCUAGGGUCAACACAUACUCUCUGUGAUAUAAAGAAACCGGUAAUCACUGGUGUACAUCUCUGUGAAUCAUGACUUUGUACCCCAAUUGUUGUAACUGCCUUAGGUAAUUUACCAGGAAAACAUGAUUCAUCAAAUACAACACGUCAAGAUAUAAUACACUUCCGAGUUUGCAUAUUAAAACAGAUAACUCCUUUAUACCCCAUAGAAUAGCCCAAAAAUAUACACAUAGCAGAUCUGGCUUGCAAUUUAUUUGCUGCAUAUGGUCUUAACCAAGGAAACACAGCUGAGCCGAAAAUCUUGAAUGAGUGUACAUCAGGUAUUUUCUUAUAUAACAUUUGAUACGGAGAGGACAAUGAAAGAAUCUUACAUGGCAUUCUGUUAAUCAAGAAUACAGAGUGUGUACAUGCAAAAUACCAAAACUCAGAAGUUAAACCAGCAACAUUAAGAAGUGUGAUUGCAGUUUCAACUAUAUGGCGAUGUUUCCUUUCUGCCACUCCAUUCUGUUGUGGAGUGUAUGGACAAGAAAUGAAUGGAAUUAUACCCUUGCUAGCUAGAAAAUCAGUAAAAGUUUUACUAACAUACUCUCAUCCACUAUCUGUUUGCAAACCCUUGAUGUGCACCCCAAACUGAGUAAGUACAAAAUUAUAAAAUCUCACAAAGAUUGUAAACACUUCUGAUUUAUUACGCAUCGGAAAAAUCCACACAUAUCUGGUAUAUUCAUCAAUUAGAGUUACAUAGUACCUAUAACCUUCUAAGGACUUCACAGGAGAAUGACCCCAAAUAUCCGAGUGUAUUUUUUCAAAUGGAGAGGUACAAGUAACUGAUCUAAUUGGAAAUGGAGUUCUAGACAUUUUUCCUUGAAUACAAGAAACACAAACACUAGACUUACUAUCUCUAUCAGCCACAAUAUUCGACUUCUGUAACAUACAAUUCAUGAUUUCAGAAGUGGGAUGCCCUAAUCUCUGAUGCCAAGUGUCACAUUUGAUAGCUUUACCCACAUAAGCAACUGGACUACUUGUAAUAGAAUGUACUCCUCUUUGCCUUUGCACAACCAGAAUCUGGAACAAUUCUUCAAGCUUACUUUUUCCUUGAUACACUAUUUCCCUUGUCUUCUUGUCCUGCACAAAGAAUUCAGAUUCAUCACAUAUAAACCAGCUCUUAUUGUCAGCACAGAGUUGUUUCACAGAUAAAAGACUUCUCGCAAUAUGUGGAACAUGUAAUACUUUGUUGAGAAUAAGAGAGUGAUUGUUAGUUUGUAAAGUAGUUGACCCAAUAAUUUGGAUUGAUAGAUCAGUACCAUUUCCAAUGGUUAUUUUGUCAGAACCCUCAAAAGGUGUGACAUGAUUCAAGGAAUUGACAUCAGCUGUCAUAUGAUGAGAUGCACCGGAAUCAACAAUCCAGGCAUCUUGAGGAAUGAAUUGCGUGGUCUGUUGAGUAUGCAGUGCAGACAAUGAUGAGGGUGGAAGCUGCCCUUGAUAUGAAUAAUUGCUUCUUUGAUAAUAAUCAAGUGCUGAAUGUCCUCUCUUGCCACAGAUUUGGCAUUCAACAACAAAGUUUGAAUUAGAAGCAUUGAUGUUCCUCUGAUAACAGUUGGCUGCAGUAUGCCCCUUUUGUUACAAAUUUGACAUUCUAUCACAGCAUUUGUCCUUGUAGAAGUACUCCCAGACCAAGAAUUAUUACCAUUUUGUCGUGAGUUGCUUAAACCAUAUCCUCAUCCCCUGAAAGUGUUAUUAUUCCUGUAAUUAUUGCCUCUGUAUUGACUCCCAUGUGAUGCUCGAGGUCCAAAUUGUGCUCCCACAUUAAGCUGUGCACCAUGAUUAUUUUGAUCACUAGGAUGACCAAUAAAACCAUAUCCAUACGACUCACCAGGAUACAUAAGAGAUUGUGAUGGUGGAAGAUAUCCUGCUGGAUACUGUGAAGGAACAGGAUAACCAGGAUACUGAAAUGGUGGUAAAGGCAAAGACUGAUGUACUGAAUUUUGUUGACCCUGAGAAGUGGAACCAUAUGGCACUGAAGUAAUUGUUCCCGCAGUACUGGCAGGAAUAUGAUUAUGUGCCUGAGAAUUUGAAGAUGAAGCUGAACUUGAACUAGUGCUUAAACUCGAACCUUGAACAUAUAACGCAGACAAGUUCUGAGACAAAACAUUAAUCUCUCCUUCAAUCUCCCUUUCUGCCCCCAAUAGUUGUGCUCUAAAUUCCUUUAAAGUAAUAGAUGACUCUCUGGCCAAAAUGACUGUACGAAUAAUCCCAUAUUCCUUUGGCAAACCAGCAAAACCAGCAAUUAUUAUGUCAUUGUCAGAUACAGAUUCACCUGCAGCAGUGAGUUGAUCCCUAAUACCUUUCAGCUUCAAGAGAUACUUAUCAAUUGUAUCAGAUCCUUUUUGAAUGGCAUGUAACUCGGUUUUGAGAUGGUUGACUCUAGACUUAGAAACCGAUGCAUAUCUAUCAACCAAAUUGACCCAUGCCUCAUGAGCAGUCCGACAACCAAGAACAUAUUCCAUUGCAUCAUCAGUUAAAGUGGCAAGAAGUAAACUAAGCAACGCCAUAUCUGUAGACUCCCAAUCCAUAAACGCCUCAGUAAUCUCCUUUGUAACCCCAGCUUCUGCAUUAACCACAUACUUUGAUGGACACACAGUUGUGCCAUCGAAAUGACCAAACAAUUUAUACCCCCUCAAAACAGACUGAAAUUGAAACGCCCAUUUGGCAAAAUUAUCAUCUCUUAGUUUAAUGGUAAGCAUACCCAGUAUUCCAUCGACUUUAAAAGGUGAACUACCCAUGAUUAUCUUCAAGCAAUAACAACUAAUUACCAAUUGAGAUUAUGCACAGAGACUGACACUCUGAGAAGAAAAACUGACACUUUCUUGAACCCACAAUUUUCAACUUCUUGACUAAGAAAGAUUGACACUUUCUUAAACACACAACUUCUGGAUUUAGAAGGAAUGACACCUUCUUGAAUGCAUGAAAGAAUGACACUUCCAGCAAAACAAUGCUUUCUAAUUAUCGCAGCAAAUCAACAUAUACAAAUCAACAAAAGAAUCCAACUCUAUCAAAUCAUUACUCUGCUCAAAUUGAAGAAAUGAAGGAAUCAGAAACCACCUGAACCGAAAAGAAAAUCAGAACCACCAAUCUUGCUUCAAUCGCACACCACCUUCAUCAACCGCACACUAAUGAAGCGACGAACAGCCACCAAACCGAACCACCAAUGAAGCGACGAACAGCGGAGCAAACCAGGAUCAAAAUCAGUGACUAACCCACACCGGCGAUGAUACCAUAUUAACAAAGAGAAAGGAAAGAAUAGCUUGUGAAAAACUAGAGAGAGAAAGAAACCAAAGAGAAUACUAAAAUGUUCAAUUUCUUUAGAGAGAUGAAAAGAUGAUUACAAACGCCUUACACAUUUCGUUUAUGUAGAGAAACUAACUAUUACAAAAGUACAAUACUACCCUUCUCAUAUUCUUUAUCUUUCUAACAACCCAAUCCUACUUAACAAACUUACAACUGUAUAACCAACUAUUAUGAUUAUUAAGGGCAACACUCUUCUUCACCAUUAUGGUAGAUGAUCGCUUACCCUAAUUUUAAAAUAUAUUUUUGUCAAAUAGCUUUGCUUAUAUUUUUCUUUUUGGUUUUUUGUCAGAAGAUUACUUUGAUUAUAUAAUUAUACAGUCACUUUCUUUGAAUUCAACCACUAUAUAAUGAUUAAUAUAUAAGUUCUUAUCUCCUUGUUCCUCAUAUUUGCCGUAUAUUCAGUCAGAUCUCGAGAAGGGAUCUGUGUAUUCAUGGCAAAUCCCAAGCUGAGAGCACUUUGGAACCACCCAGCUGGCCCUAAAACUAGUUUGUUUACUUACUCUACAAGUUUUUACUAUUAAUUUUCUGUUGGUUAUUUAGUUAUAUUGUUCUUAAUUUCUCAAUGAUUAUCGUUGAUGGAUUGUUGAUCUUAAUCGAUCAUUUCGUGUUAAUCCGCUAGGUGGUGCUUGAUUAGUAUGAAAGUUAUUGAGAUUAAAGAACAUGUGGUUGAGAUUAUUGAUUUCUUAAGUGAAAACUAAAACUCUUAACGAAUUUUAGUGCAUAACUGACUUUAGAACAGCUUUAACUAAUGAUUUUGUGAAUUGUGUAGUGAAACUCAGAUUUGAGAGUAUUUUAAAAGCCUUUAAAAUCCUAGUGUAGUCAAUUAAAAGAUUUUAAAGGAUUUUAGAAUCCAUUCAAAUCUAGGUAUAGUCAAUUAAAAGAUUUUAAAGGAUUUUAAAAUUAAUCCAAAUCUAAGUGUAUUAAAAAAAUUAAGAUUUUGGAGGAUUUCAAUAAGUUGUGGAUUUUGUGGGAUUUGAGAGUAAGAAGUAUAUAUACCAAGACUAAAAAGAAUUCAAUCUCACCCCCUAUGAUUUCAAAUCAUUUUCCAUCUGGGCAGUUCUCCAAUCUCUACCAACCCCAGCCACAUGUAACCACCAUAUACUUUGGUGGAAUCUCUUAUUAUGACCCUUAUACCUUAAUUAGGCAUGUAUGAUCAUCGAAGGACAUGAUCGAUCUAGGAUUUUGGUUAAUACUACUCUCUCACCAUUAAUAUAUGUAGUACUACAAGCACUACUGAAGUACCAUAGCAUACGUCUAUGGCAAAAGGGCAGUCGGUGGUGAUGGUUGUUGGUGGUGUAGUGCUCAAAAGCUCACCAAUUAUGUUGAUCUAUCAAUUGAUAAAGAGAUGGAGCCGUGAUUGUGUGAAAGGGGACCCGAAAAGGGAGGGGAUAAAGUAGCUAUCGAGUAUAGUAGGUCAAGGGGAAAGAUUUUUCCUUUUUCUUUUUGAUACAAAAAUUAUAUGAAAAUCCACCAAAAUCUACAAACUAAAUCCAUUCAAAUUCUUUAAAAUCCAUAUGAAUUUUGUAGGAGUAUUAAAUCCUCCUAAAUCCUUUAAAAUCUAUCACUUCUAAAAUCCUUUAAAAUCUUAGUUUGACUACAGCCUUAAACUCAAUGAUUUGAUGGCGUGGGCUUGUUCACGCGGCAUUUUGCCCGCUAUAGUUUUGCUCUUUUGAACUUGUUGAUUGGUCAUCUUUAUGAACUUGGUAUAUUUCCUUUGUUUCUUGGUACUCAACUUUAAUGUAAAGUUAAAGUUUAUCUGAUGAUGAAUAUAAUUUUUUUUUAUGAAAAAAUAAAAUUCAAUUAACACUACAUGAUUAUACCAUUUACCCCGGUUAGUCUUAGAAUAUAUGGAGUUUUAAUAAAGAAAUUGUAAUAUAAAAAAUUGUCACAAAAAGAAAAAGAAAAAAAAGAAAUUGUAGAUAGAACUCAGCCUCUCAUAUAUUAAAAGGUUUUCUGUGUGUUUAAUUUUGCAGUCCAUUUCUGGGCCCCAACAUUUAAAUGGGGUCUAACCAUUGCAAAUAUUCUCGACUCAGCAAAACCACCAGAGAAACUAUCCUAUCCUCAGCAAUCAGGUUGGCCAUGACUCCCUAAUUUGUUUGAUGGACUCAGGUUUUUCGACGCUUCUACUAAACAACCAGAUAUAUAUUUCUUAUUUUCUAUAUAUCUCAUUACGUGAUCUAACGGCUAUCACAUAAUGAGAGUACUGGGAUUUGUUUAAUGGCCCCGGUCUUUCAAGGCUUCUACCAUACAAUCGGAGAUAUAUUUCUUACUUUCUAUAUAUCUCAUUACGUUACCUAGCCACUAUCACUAAUGAGAAUGUUGAGAAUGUUGAGACAUAUAAGAAGAAAGGGAUAUUAUCGCCGGGGCAGUCAAGAAUCUCCCAUCUUAUCAUUUUGUCGAAAAGUUUACUUACUGGUUGGUAAUUGUUUUUGGUUGAUUGGUAAUUAUUUCAUUAAUUUACUUACUGAUAAAAACUUUUGGCAUCCCCAUUUGAUGAUCUCCAGCCCUUGCAUCCACCGGACUUAUAUGGGCAAGAUACAGCGCAGUAAUUACACCAGUAAUUGACUCUAAACCUCAAGUUAUUAAUUAAUUACAUCAACAGUUUACUGUAUAAGUUUGAGAUAGAUUUUCACAUCCUCAUAGUUUGUCCAUUUUGAGAUUGCAGAAGAAUUGGAAUCUUUUGAGUGUUAGUUUCGCGAUGUCUGUAACCGCUAUGUAUCAACUUUCGCGUAAAAUUCAGUAUGUUGUCAUGUGCUCUCGUAUUGAAAAUUGUUCUUAUAGCGCAAUUAACUGCUCUCGUAUUUGUGUCUUGUUUUGAAUGGCAAGUAAUUACAAUGAAUUGACUGUCACCAAUUUUCAUAUUUUCCAGGCAUGACUUAUCCACCAAAAACCAAGAAGUUGCUGCAGAAGAAUGAAUAAAAUCUCAAUUAUAGUAAACUUGGCGUGCUAGUUUCGAGUUGAACGCACUCUGAUUCGAGUCAUGUAACACUUAUAGUAAAACAUAUUCGUUCUCAUGGAUUAAUGUUCAUUAAUGUUGGAUUAUGUUUGAACCUCAUGGUUCAAUUAAGACCAAUGAAAAAUAUUUUGUAGCAUAAUUUUGUUUAUACAAAGCGACAUCUUUAUUCGGCACAUUUACAUAGAGCGCAUGCAAGCCAUUGAGAGAAGCCUAAUUCCGUAGUAAAGAGUAUUUAUCCGCACACUCGUAGCAGGCACUAACAAGGGCUAUGUGCCUAGAGAAAGUACACGAUUAUUUAUUCGCAUAUUAUUCGUGUACUUUAAAUAGGAAAGUUAUUAGCAUUCUUAAAAAUAAAAAAAAACAGUUUAAUCAUUAAAGUUCCGUUGGUUAGACAAGGAGCGAGUUGAUAUGGAUGGUUUAGCAUUAAGGGCCACGUCCCAAGAAAAUGCUCGAAAAAUUGAUAAAAAAAGAAAAAAGAAAAAUCUAGAAAGAAAAUCAAAUCUAGGAAAUGUGGGAAUUGAAUCCCCUCCUAAGCAAAUGUUGGGGAUCCUCAUAACUACACAACACGAGCCGUUUAUUUUGAUCAUACAGUUACAAUUAUUAUAAUUUGUAAAGGGACCUCUUGUUUGUUGUGUGGUCAUGAGGAUCCCUAAAUUCAACGGUUACAAUUAUUAUAAUUUUUAGAGAUACCUCUUAUUUGUUGUGUGGUCAUAAAAAUCCCAAAAUCCAACGGCUAUAAUUAUUAUAAUUUUUAAAGAAAUCUCUUAUUUGUUGUGUGGUCAUAAAGAUCCCCACCAUUUGCUCGAGGGGAUCCAAUUCCGGAAUGUGUUCAGUCAACACAGUUGCAGUUUCUCUUCCCACUAAUCCCUAUGGCGAUACGCUAGCACAUACGUGACACGCGGUCAACGACGCACAUCCGUUAAUUCUAGCGGCAAUCCCAACCAUAACCACUAAAGUACGCCGCCUCUUAUCCUACGCUCCCAUGCCUAUGUAACCAAUUGAUCGUCCAAAUUAUUUUACUUGCAUUUUUGCUCACCACCAUCAUAAACUAUGGUGUAUGCUUACCAUACACCUAAUCAAUUGACACAUGUCAUUUCACUUAACUCUAGUUAACUUUCACAUUAAAUGUUAGUUUUUCAAUUUUGAAAAAAAUUAACCAAGAUUAAGUGAAAUGAUACGUGUCAAUUAAUUAGGUGAAUGGUGAGCUCUAUGUGGUGAGCAAAAAUGCUCCCUUUUUUUUUUACGCCAAAAGCAUUUUUGCCUGAUAUUUAGGACAAAGCCAAUUCUCAGAAAAUCCGCUUCUCAGAAAAACCAGAGAGAGCUCGAUCAUAAUCUGAGUAAGUCAUCUUCUUAAAUUACGAAUUAUGUUUCCAUAAUCUCUAUGAUUAAUGCUUAAUUAGUUCCGAAAAUCUCUGUUCAAUUCAAUUUACUUCAUUUAUUUCUGUGAAAACUGUGUGCUCAUUUCUCAAAUUUCUUAGCUUUGAGCUGACUUUCGUUGAGAUUUGAGAUGAAUUUUAUGUGGGUUUUGUUGGGUUUUUUUUCUUUGUCAGUGGAUAAAGUUCAAAACUUUAUGUGGGUUUUGUUUGUGAUUUAAUAUUUUGAUGGUGGUACUGAAAAAAUGAUUCUUCUUCUUUUGAGAUAUUGAAAAGACUGGUAAUUUUGGUUUAUUGGUAGUUCUGGAUAAAUUGUUAUGUAUUAAAAGUUGAAAUAUUUGGGUUUGUAGGAUAACAUGGAAGAUCCACAAGUGGAGCACAAUCUUUGGGUCUUAUGGAGAGGAAAAAGGUUUGAUGUGAAGAUCCAUUUGGGUGCCACUCUUAAGGAUCUCGGGCACGAACUGCAAAAGUUAACGGAUGUUAAAGCAGAUACGAUGAGGCUAAUUGUUCCAAAGUUUUCCGAUAAAAGCUCGAAAAUGUUGUCUCCUUUCUCUGAUGAGCAUCAGAACUUGAGUUUACAGGAAGCUUCAUUUGUUGAGGUAUCUUCUGAAUACUUAAAACAGUUACCUAGAUAUUGCUAUUUGCUACUACUUUUGGAGUUUGGUGGUUCUACUUGUUUUUAAGACGCGAUAACUGCCCUAUUAUUUUUUGUGAGUGACUUAGACGACAAGAAAACUUUAGAGCCCUUCUAAUUUAUAUUCAAGUUUCAUAAAUGAAUAUGUGCAAUGAAUGUAGUGAAGGGGAUAAAAUGGAUGUAACUUUGAUGGAUUAAAUUUCUAUAACUGAACUUUUGGAGUUCUUGCAUGCCAACUGAUUGAUUUGUUCUUUUUCAGGGAAAGUCCAUCAGAAUGAUGGGAGUGUCUGAAAACGAGGUUGAUGAAGUUUUACAAAAUGCAAAGGCAAACUUGGAGGUUGGAAGUUCACACAAACUUCAGAAGAACCCUGAUAUGGAGCCUGAUCCUGAUGCCCAGUCUGACAAUCAGAACAAGUUUGAGCCCAGUCCUCAUGAUUCUCAGGGCACUGAUGAAUCAUCAUCUCAAUUUACGGGAAGCUGGACCUUAUUUGGAAAAGAAUUCAGUGAGUCUAUGAUCUGUCAACCUGAGUUAGCAGGGACCGAGUCUCGUGAAGAACCAGAUCCUGAUAAUAUGGAUAAUAUGGAAAGCAGGGGGCAAGCAAGGAAUAACGUGGACGAACCUGAUCCUGAUGCCGAGGAUGCAAAAGCAGAUAAUUUAGGAUAUAGUUCCUAUAGAAAUAUCAUAAGACCUAACGACGACAGUUCUUUGGUUACUGAAACCAUCAAACAUGAAGACGAUCCAAGGAAGGCUUAUAAUGAACCUGAUCCUGAUGAUUCCCAGUCAAAUGGAGUCACUCAGGCAGAGCCUGAUCCUGAUGCUAAUUUGGUGCAUCCACAGGAAACAUCCAGAAUGCAGAUUGAUGAACCUGAUCCAGAUGAUCAAGAAUUUCAAAGAAUUCAAGACCCUGUUACAAUCUUUUGUAAACGCUUGCAGGAGAACAUUAAGAUGCUGGAAGCUGAGGUUAAUCGUGCACAGCCUACCACUGUCCUCCAAACUCUCUUAAAGAUAAUAAGGUAUAGUAAUCUAGUUUGAUUAACUUGUAGCCUUUCUCCGUACACGUAAAAAGUUUCGGGCAGCAUAUACCAGCUGGUUUAAUCUUUUUAGAAACGCCAUGUGAUAGGGUCGCGGUUAUAUUGAACUUGUUGCUCUGAAGCAAUGUAGAACUCAGGUAGCACAUGAAGUUGAUAGAAGAUAGAAGAUGCAUUGUUGGGUCAUCUGUAAACCUUUGUGCGUUGAGAUGUUGAUUGUGGCUUAUUCAUACACUUUUUUUUUGUAGGAAUGUGCUUGAACACCCAGGUGAGACGAAAUACAGGAAACUUUGCAAGGUACGGACAUUGUUACCAGUAAUAAUCUUUCAUUAAAUUUAGCUUGAACAGGUGGAGUUUCCUCUUAAACGUUUCUCCUAAUAGUGAUGGAUAUACAUUGCAGGCGAACUCCACAAUCCUAGGGAAUGUGGCAAACUACAAAGGUAUGCAACUUCCUGUACAUUUAGAUUCUGUAUUUAUUGAUCUGGCUUGGUGAAAUUUUCCCAUCUUUAAAUGGGAACCCUGAAGGGUUGGAUAAUAAUCACAGGACGGUCUAAUGAUCGAGCUGCUGUAGCUUUGUGAUAAACUUUUUUGUUUUGCCCUUUUUCAAUUUUGCAAUAACAGCUGCCAUGGAAUUCCUUCUUCUGAUUGGCUUCAACGAAAGCGUCAUGGAUGGAAAACAAGAGACUUAUCUUGUGCUGAAGCGGGAUGAUCCGGGAUUAUUAUGGCUUGCCAAGUCCGCCCUUGAGGCAAGCGUUUCCUGAAGACACAUUUCCAAGCAAAAAGUCUGCUCUCUCUCUGUGAUCUCUAUGGUGUUGUGUUCCAUGUAAAUAUGUAAUGCAUGCUUGGCUGUAGAACAAUUGUUGUGUAUAUGACUACUGGGCAUAAAAUCAUGUCAGGUGAACAUUGAAAUAAAAAUAAAAAUGGCUGUUUUAGAUUUCGACGCUGCUCACUGCCCGUCGCACACCGCUCACCAACUAGUUUUCGGUGGAGUGGUACUUAUCUUGCUAGAUAUACACGAAGAGGUCUCAAGUUCGAACUGCAUUUGCGUUUGCAAUAACACACCCAAAAAUAGAAGUGCAUAUAGUGAAAGAUAACUUUUGUAUUGGAUCAUACGUUAAUGAAGAAAUACAACUCCACUUACAGAAAUGAAACCAGAGAAAGAAAAUGACAACUUCCUUUAUCACCCUGUCAAAUCUUAUAAGCUUAAAAAGUAUGAGCAGUCACUCCCACUUUACAUCCAGAUAUAAAUAAAACUCAUCCGAGUCGGGAUACUUUGCUCCAACAGUUUGAUCCGUAAAAGGGGUUUAAGAAACAGGAAAACUCAAGAACCAUCCAUUGGAAUAUCACAGGGGUUUGAAUUCUGCGGGUUUGCACUGCAAGCGCUUGCUGAGAUGUUAUUUUGAGGCUGGCUGGCCCUGAAUGUAAAGUCUUGAGGAGGAAUGGCUAAGGGAGGCCGGGCAAAAACGGAGGUAGCACCAACAUUGUUAAAUGUAGGGACGGGAACUGGAUUAUUGGAUCUUGGGAAGCCAAAGCUAAACAAAGGUGCAGCUGCCGGUGGGAAGGCUGGUGGGGUUGGGUUGCUCUUAUCAGUUGAUCCAAAGAUCUUUUCCUCAUACUCCUGCAGUUGCCGGUAAUAAGCUGCAUCCACAAACACAAAUGAAAGUCAGAGAUGUAUAAUUGUCCAGAACAAGUGGGCACUACUUUCAUGCACGAACAUUGCUAGGUAAUAUUCAGAAGGUUUGACAAACAUGGCAGUCCACCAUUUGCAUUCUGCUCCUUCUAAGAAAUGCCGAAACAGACCUUCAUUGCAUACCUUCAGUUAAUUCAACAGCUGGUCUCCGUUCUUUCACCCACUGGUAACUCAGUGCUAGUCUCCAUCCUCUAGACUUCAUCAAAUAAGCAAUUACAAUAGCCGGAGACCUGUAAAAAUGAACAUAGUUAUUAUCUAAAAAACAAACAAAAAAAUUUGAUGAUUAAUAUUUCAUAAAAACCAAUAGGCUGGUGGUUUAGCAAUAUAUUAAUUGCUUGUGCUAUGUGAUGCAAUCUUUACGGAACACUCUAGACACUAACUACAACAACAACAAAGCCUUUUCCCACUAAGGAGGGUUCGCUAUAUGAAUCCUAGAAUGCCAUUGCGCUCGGUUCUGUGUCAUGUCCUCCGCUAGACACUAACUAAAACGAAAAAAACAUCAUUUUCAGUAAUUCACCUUUUUUGCCCUGACAUGCAGUGUACUAAAACGCGAGCUUUGUCCCUUUCACAUUGCUCUGCAAGAUUAAGCACAGUUUCACUUCGAUAAGCAAACAAUGCAAAUUUGAAAUGCUAAUUAUACUAAGAAUAUCCAAGCUAGCAUCAGCAAUUCUGAAAUUCAAUAGCGAAGCCAUUCACUAAUAAGUAUUAAAAUUUUCAGGUCGGUUACAGUAAUUAAAUGCUAUAAAUCACUUCAGUGAUGUUCUGCAACCAAAACGCACAAUAGCUCAGUAACUGCAGAGCAUGGACCAGUUAUUUUUUAUAUUAACAACCUAGUAGAAUGUGGUUCGCGUAGCUCAUCUAAAAUUGAUCAAUUUAAGAUUAAAAGAAAUAUUCUUCCAACAAAGUAUCAGAAAGGUGCUAGACUGCCAGUAUGAAUAAGGCCUGUCUCGUUAUUGCCCUUUGUCCAUAUCUUGAUUCUAAUUGUCAAUUGGGGAAGCUGACAUGUAAACCUAUGAGGUUGCAAAUCUGAACCAGUGGACAGUACCAGAAUGUGACAGGUGAAUUCAGAUAUUUGGUCAAAUAAAGCAAGAACUUAAACAUGGCGGCAGUUAGGUAAGUGUGAAUCAAGAAAGCAUUCUGUGUCGUGUUAUCAUAAUGAUCAAAACAGGGCCAAGGAAAAGGUCUGGGAAACAUAUCAAAUUUAACCAUCAACCAUCCAAUCACCAAAAAUAAAAAACUAUUAAUAAUCCUAUUCAUCAAAAUCCAAUCCGUUAUCAUAUAAAGAUCCCACAUUAAAGAACCCACCAACACAAAUAUCUUAAUGUUCCCGUAACCAAGUUUCAGUGGCUCCGUACGUUCUUUGACUUAAAUACUAUGCCAGGAGGGAAGUCCAUAGAAAAAUUAUGAACCAAUUGAAGUAGCAAAUGUACUCAGCUAAACUUAAGGCGACAGUGAACAAUAUGUUAAAUGUGUGCAUGUAAGCAAAUGAUGCAAACAGUAGGUCACAACAGCUAUAUAUGAAGACUGAGUUUAAAAGGCAAAUCAGUAUUAGUGAAAAUUAUGAGCCAAAUAUCCCAGAAUCAAAACCAUAUAAUGAGCUGAAAUCUAGAAUACAAUAAACAACAUAUGUGAAUUCAUUAUGGUCAAAAAGAGAAAGUACACACCUAAAAAUUGAUUUGCAUCCUCAAAUUGCAAAAUCUUGUCAUCUUGGAGGUAGUGAUAAGUGAAAGAGUUCUUGUAGAGAUUUUGACAAGCAGGAACCGUCUGCAUAUAGAGGGAGAAAAACAUCACACCAGAAUGUCAAGACUUCGAAUGUUGGAGACUGAAUUACUAUUUCAACCAAAACAAUACGACAAGUAAUCUACGAAUAUUAGCUCAGUAGUAAAGAUCAUCAAAACCAACCCAAUGAUCAUAAAUCGUCAAGGUCAAAUAGUGAAACCUAAGUCAUUAUCCAAGUCCAUAUCUAUUCAUAACCCUAGACACAGCCUUAAUCCACCUUUCUUACUUCUCAUAUGAAAUUAUAUCUUCUAUUGCAGAGGAGUUAACCACCUAUGUGACCACUACAGAGCUUAUCCUUGAAUGCUACUAUUCGCUUCUUCAUGUUCGCUAUCUAUCUCAACAGCCAACUACUUCAAUCUAAGAGACAAGCUAACUUUUGAUCUCAACCAUUCCGUUUAACAAUGGAUGCUCUUGCAGCUAUCUCAUUGACUUCCCUAUUAUUUACAUAAACAAUGCAACAAAAGCACUUCCUCAUACCGCAGAUAAAAUUUCAGCUUUGGCAUCUCUUAUCCAUCAUAAAUACAGUUCUCCAAAAGCACAACUAAUUUGCACAAAUCAACAUACGAAAACAAAUUCGGCUACAGAAAUCGAACCUAUAAACCAAACUGAUCCAUUCCAAAUAGCAAAACCGAACCAGAAACGCAGUAUCGUAUUCACAAUUCUAUAACCAAAGCAUACAAAUCAAAAGUACAAAAUCUUACAUUUAGGACACGAGAUAUUCCCUGAGUCUUGAGAAGUUCAGAGCGAGAAGCGUUAUCGUAGCUGCCCAAAUAGAGGAACUCCGGCAAGAUCUCAGACGGAAAAGCACUAACUUGGAUCGAAGUUCUCUCAGAAACCGCCGGCAUUCUAUGGCCGCAGACCCCACAGACCUCCCCUUCUUCGUAUUUGUGAUAGUGCCCACAAACCCCACAUGGAUUCUCCCUCUCCCUCUUCCUCAUACCCUAAUUCCAGCGAGAUUACGCACCGACCCAGGUGAGAGAACGAAUUCCAAAUCACAAAACAAGCAGAACCCAGAUCAAAAACCAGAGAAAUCGAAGUGGGUUCCUCAAAGAUUGUGUCUUUGAUAAAGACUAAGGUGGGAAAAGAAGAGAGGGAGAUUUAUAGAGAGAGAGAGAGAGGGGCAGAGAGAGAAUUAGAAGGCGUUACAAGGAAGCGUCGUUUUUAUCAGAUUUAUGAAGAUUUAUGAGCUCUCGGAUUCGCGCUUUGGCUUUUGGGCGUCACUCACUGACAAAGCUUUCCUUACUGGCGGUGGGAGACAAUACAGUAGAAGAGAGAGAGAGAGAGAGAGAGAGAGAUAGAUAGGGUGGGGAGGAGAGAGAGGGGGGAAAUCACUUCAGUACGUGUUUAUCCAUAUUGUGUAUAUACUAUUUCAUUCCCUAUUUAUAAUGGAGAGAGAAAUAUGAGAGAGAUUUUGGUGUUGGUGUGAUUUUUUGAUUGAUGCCUUGCUUGUUCCUUGUUCUUGCUGAAGGCUGUGCAGAAAAGCCAGACUUCCUUUUCUUUUGAUAAUUCAAUCCACAGGGGGUUAUUUUCUGCAAAGCCCCACGGCCCCACCCAUAUUAGUACCCAAUCAUACUGUUCCUUUGGACCACAUAUUAUGUGGAGCCCAUUUACAGUUUUCUCCAAUUAUGUGACGACAUGUGGAUUAGUAUUCAUGACUCAUGGCAGCUUCUAGUUUUUUCAUUGUCUUUGUUUUUGGACAUGAACAACUCACAUGGAUAAUGGAGAAAGUUACUGACAAUUUCUUUAAGAAAAAAUAUGACUUUUACAAACCUCUUUUGGUUUUCACACAUCUUUGUUUAAACAUGAUGUCGAAUUCCGUUUGAUUUAUCCGAUUCAAUUAUUAAAAAUAUAGAGGAUUGUGUAAAAAGCUAAAAGUUUUUGUCAAAGAAGUUUACCUAUUAUAAACUGUCAUGACAACGGUAUUUCAACUCAAUUAUGUAAUUAAUCAAUUUCCCCUUGUACUUGUAAGGAUUGGCUAAUUCCCCCUCCCCUCAACUUUAAUUUUGGUCAAUUUACCCUCCUUAACUCUCAUAAUUAGUCAAUUUGCACCAUACUGUUAAUUUUUUUAAUUUUCCAUCUAUUCUUUCGUUAAUUAAGUAUCCACAUGACUACCUUUGAAAGGCAAAAAAAAGUCAAUUUGCACCCUACUGUCAUUUUCCAUUAAGUAGUUUCCCUACACCUUACUAGAGGUAGACGAGACCGAGAAAGGAGGCGAUGGGGUGUGGGCAGCUGCAAACUGCAAAAGUAGCAUAUCAAAUUGACUGGGCUGCAAACAGCGGAGGAGGGAGGCGUUGGCGGCAAUCACGGGCUCAGCUUGGAGAAAAGGAAGAAGAACAUAAAUUUUGAAGAAAAGGAAGAAGAUAGAAGGUGUAGGGGAAAUGACUUUUUUGCCCUUUAAAGGCAGUCAUGCAGAUACCAACUUAACUUAAAAAUAGAUGGAAAAUUAAAAAAAAUUAAUAGUAGGGUGCAAAUUGACUAAUUAUGAGAGUUGGGGGGGGGGAUUGGCCAAAAUUAAAGUUGAGGGAGUAAAUUGACUAAUUAUGAGAGUUGAUGGGGCGAAAUUGGCCAAUCCUUACAAGUUCAGGGGGUAAAUUGAUGAAUACCUCAUUAGAAAAAUUAUAGCAUUCAACGUCAAUAAUACAAACACAUGCCACAUCUAUAUAUUUAUCUACAAUACUAUAUGAUAUAUUAUUGUAUCAUUAACACGAAGCAUUAUUAGAAAAACGUAACUAGCUUUACUGAUUUUGGUGCACCCAGUGGCUAGGCCCAAAGUCAAGCCUAGUAAGAUAUCUCAACGAAACAAUUGUUUAAAAAAGUUGAACCCAAAAAAAGCCACGGCCAUUGCUGGCGCUCUGAAAACAAUGGCUUUUCCCGCUUGGCACAAACUCUUCACUCGUCACUUGUCCUUUUAUUUCUUCGACCCCCUCCACCUCAUCGUUCUCGCAGAGUCGUUGUCACAUGUACUUUCUAUCUCCUCCCUUUUCUGUCUCUCAUUCUCUCUGUAAUCUUAGCUUGGUACGCUCUGGUAUGCAAGGUUGGGCAUGGUGACGCCAUUGGGUUGCGGGGUGGAGACGAUGUGGAAGAGAUUCAUAGAAGGCGAUUGCGUAAGGGCACCGACCCCUGAAGAUAUCACGAUGAACAACUUUGAUUCAAACACCCAAUCGUACACCUUCGACAAGCUCACCUUCAAGGUUGUUGCAAUCGUGCCCUGUGGAAGUAAACCAAGUGAAUUCAACGAGGAAUUCUAUGUGAUUUCGAUGCAAUGUUCAAACUAGCAAAUGCCUUCUCCAUGCUACUCUCACCAUGCCUAUCAAGUCUUUGUUCAUAACCCUUUAAAAUGGCAACCACAUCCUGAGCAUCUAUGGUUUCCAAAUCCUUAGUAUUUUCUAUCACUGCUGCAAUACUAUCAUACGAUUUAGGCAAGCUAAUUAACAGUAUCUGGACAAUUCUUUUAUUACUCAGAUUUUCACCAUAGCUUCUUAUUUGAUUAAUCAGAUCAAAUAGUUUAGCAAUACACAGAGAAGGAUUCAUUAUCAUUCAUGUGAGUAUAUUCAAAAUCUCGUCUAAGACCUUGAAGUUUCACAUAUCUUACUUGCUUAUCAGUUAUCACCAACAAAUUCUUGUUUCAGAAUAUCCCACGCAGCCUUUGCACUUUCCUGGGUUGCGAUCCUCAGGAAAAUUUGAUCUGAAACAACACCUUAGAUGAUUCCCAGUGCUCUAGCAUCCUUGACCACAUUCUUUUGUAUCCGCUUCUUAUCCACCUCCGUAAGCUCAUCCUCCUUCUUCGUUGGAAUAUCAUAGCCCUUCUUAACCAGAUCCCACAACUCAUGUGAAUGGAAAAUGGUCUUCAUUUUGAUUUUCCAGAAAUCAAAAUUCUCACCAUUAAAGACUGGUGCUCUGAGUUCUCCUCCUCCAGAUCUAGCCAUGUUAGACUCGAUCGCAGAUACAAGCUCGAAUCAUCGCAAUGAGCUUUUGCUGUGAAUCCGAGCUCAAUCCUACACACAGAGACGACGCCCAUAGAAUUUAGACCUAACCUGGCUCUGAGGCAAUGUUAGUGAAUUCGAAUUAAACAAGAAUUAUAACAGUGUUUAUGGAAGAGAAACCCAGAAAACUUGAGCAAGAAGAAGAAAUGUGAUUAGAAAGCUCAGAGGAUAUCCCUCUGCUAUUCUCCCAUAUAUUUCGGACACACAUUCUAAGCAUGUGAGCUCAUACACCAACAAUAUAACCGUUGGAGGUGAGAAAAAGAUAGACACAUCUCUAAAUUCAAUCUCAGCCAUCCAUUUCAUACUACACUGAGAUUAAGACACUUGUCCAUUAUCAAGCCCUAUGAGACUUAAUCAACACAUUACAUUUUUAACACACAAGCUCAGCCUAUGAGCUAAAGCACAACACUAAUCAGUUCAUCAAUCUACGCACUAACAGUUAUCCCUGCGGACUUUUAGUGCUGCAAAAUAUCUAACUAGUUUAAAUUUGGAGCAUGUGGGAAUACAAGGCUUCUCUGGUCUUGUACAACAUUUGUCAUUAACGUCAUGUGUUAUGCGGAGCAGGGUCUUUCUUUUUCCAGAAUCCAGCCUCAAAUACUUGGAAAUUAUAUAAUGCGCUGGUGCCAGGUUGAUUGUAGUUCGUGCUAUGUAUCUCGAAUCUUUUAAAUUUGUUUCAGGUUCAGAUCAAAGCUGGAGAAUGAGAUUGGAAGAGCUCGCGAUCAUGGGAGCUAAGAACCUGAGAAAUUUUGUUUUAUGUGGAAGCAAAUUCUAUGUGAGGGAUGCCUUUAUUAAUCCAAAAGUAACGUUUUUCCUUUUUAAUGGUUUUGUGAAGUCGAUCUCUUCAAUUAAAUUGGCUCCUACAGGCUCAUCAGAACACUUAUCUGCGCUGAGAGAUUAUCUCGAAAGUUUUGAUUGCUCCGAAGACAUGUCCCUCUAUAUUCAAGAUGCCAAGGUAUAUAUAUCGGUCACUUUACAGUUUGUGUAUUUAUUCAUCUAAUAUUCCACGUUCUGCAGUUGAUUCCUUACUAAAAAUUUCCUUUUUAAUUCUCUGUGUUGUGUGAACGGUGUAGUCCUUCAUCUUUCCAGAGAGUUUCAGAAAGACCUGCUCUCCACCAUUGCGUAAUCUCAAACAUAACGUCACGGCCAAGAUGCCUCCGGCAACUGAGGCAGAAGAUUCCGAGUUGAGGGGCUCCUUGCUUUGGAUAGCACCUUCUGCAUAUAUACCACAAAUCGAACACUGGACAUAAUGAAAUGGAGGACCGAUGAUUUUUAGUUGUUUUCACUUUCGAAGUUUAGGGUUUAAUACAAUCUUCUUCAUUUAUUCGAAGUUUAGACUUUCAGUUAAUCUCUAGCACAAAAGAAAUUAAAAUUUUUGACUUCUUCAUGUGAAUGGUUUCGUUGAAGACAGUUCGUAUUCACUUCAGUAUGAACUAAUUUCAUGCAGUAAUUAAUGGAUGAGUAUACGUAAACUGUUUUCCCGCAAUGAAUGAAAUUAAAUCGGUUGAAGACCAUUAACCAUGUAGCAACUAGCAAGCAGUUUUCUCUAACAAAACCAUGUACACCGGAAUUGUUACAAACGUAGAACAAGUUAUACGUUACAAUUUCUCACAUUCAACGAGCGGAAGGGUUCUUCUUCUUCCCUCUCAUCCUUACAUACGAACAUUGAACUGCGCUAUUCAAAAAGGAACGCUGAGGCUUUAAAUCCUCGUAAGGAAAGUCCAGGUCACGAAUGAUGUAUGCAUUUAGACAAAGUUGUGCAGAAGCCAUUUAAGACUGAUUGCGAUGCCGCAUAUAUUACGUCCCUGCAGACCAUGAUUCUUGAACUCGAGCGUUUUGAAGGGUGAAGCCGUGAAUGAUUGGUAAAGGGAAUUCCUUGAGAAAACCGAGACACUUUUGGGAGAUGACAACGGAUGCGAAGGCUUGGUCGGCAGCUUGGACUUGCAGGUGGGUCGGCGGUGAAGGGAAGAAGGAAGCUAUGAGGAGGAAGAGAACAGUUGGUGGCGCCAUUGAAGUGUCUGGAGAAGAGAAGACAAAGAGGACUGAUUCCUUAUUUUUUUUUUUUUGUCUUGGUUUUGGCUUCGGCGCAAGGACAAACAUCGAAAAGAGCGCAAAGAUUUAACAAACUAGACAAAACUCUUGGUAUGUGAAAUGUCCAAAACACCCCCAGAGUUUUUGGCGUUGUUUGGUGGGUGAGCUUUUUGGUAGAAUAAAACUUUAGGGAGAGUUCCACAACCUGCAGUAGGGCAUACCCACCAUAUGAUUUAUGUGUAGCAUUUAAUUAUUAGUUGUCUUUGGUAGUGGCGGAUCCAUGAUUUUAAACUCGGGGGAUCCCAAUAAUAAAGGUCAAAAAAUUUAUAGACAAAAAACAACAUUGAAAAUUUAAAUAUAAUACAUUUCAUUCAAAAAUCAUAUGCAAAACAAUAUUACAAAUUAUAAAAUCACAAUUCAAGCGUCCAUUACGAGGUUUCAUAAGUUACUAGGAAGUACCUAAGUUAUUGAUUAUCUAAUAUGGACCACUAAAUUUAAAACACCGGUCAAAUAAAACUCUCCCCAAACUCCCACUAUCUUUCUAACCAAACACACCAUUUUACUCUUUUACUAGUUUCCAAACAUCAAUUUUCUAUUUCACUAAGAACACAGCUGCCAUACCUCCACCAACUGCCUCCCUCCCCAUUCUCCUGAAGCCAUGGCAGCUCCACCCCCAAAUUUCACCAACCUAUGACAGAUCAUAUCCAUCUUACUAACCUUAUGUAGGAAAUUUCACCCAUAAGAAAAAUUAUUAAGGUGGUUGAAAUAAUUUGGGGAAAUUUGGGCUUAUGUACUGCCCCGCCAGACGACAGAGAAAGGUUGGAGGAGAAGUGGGUGGCAUCGAUGGAUGAGACCAUGGCAGAAGCAAGGAGGAGAGAGGCUGGAAUGGUCCCUAUUUUCUUUCUUCUCCGUGCGCGAUCAUCUUCUCCGAGAAGAAGACAACCACUGCAACCUGCAACCUACAACCUGCACAUACCUCAUGCUUGAGUAUGAAGGGUCCCUCCCUCCCCAUUCUCUUGAAGCCAUGGCAGCUCCACCCCCAAAUUUCACCAACCCAUGACAGAUCAUAUCCAUCUUACUAACCUUAUGUAGGAAAUUUCACCUAUAAGAAAAAUUACUAAGGUGGUUGAAAUAAUUUGGGAAAAUUUGGGCUUAUGUAUUGCCCCACCAGAUGACAGAGAAAGGUUGGAGGAGAAGUGGGUGGCAUCGAUGGAUGAGACCAUGGCAGAAGCAAGGAGGAGAAAGGCUGGAAGGGUCCAUAUUUUCUUUCUUCUCCGUGCGCGGUCAUCUUCUCUGAGAAGAAGACAGCCACUGCAACCUGCAACCUACAACCUGCACAUACCUCAUGCUCGAGUACGAGGGGCUUCAGAAAAAUUCUAGCAUCGAUUUAGGAUCGCCGACAGGUCUUGGGACCUCCCAAGUUCCUAUGUAGAUCCGUCUUUGGUCUUCGGUAUGAAUUUACGUAAAAAUUUAUAGAUUGCACCAAUAAAAACUGCUUACAGCGGAACUCAAACGUUACUAAGAUUACACACAAGACAACCCUACCAAUUUGAGCCAACCGUUGUUGGCUUUGGUGUGAGCUUUAGAGCAACUCCACCCAUGGAGCCCUCCCCCCUGGCAAUCCACUAUUCAAUCCACCAUAUUGAACAGUAACUGCCUUAAAUGAAUAGUAAUUACCAUUAAUGAACAGUAAUUGCCAUUUACAUCUCCACUCUUGGAACCCUCCCCCCUGGCAAUAAGCAAUAAAAAUAAUAGUUUUUUUAUGUUUAUUUAAAUAAUAAAAAAUUACAAAAGCUAUCUCUCUCUCUCUCUGACACAAAAAAAAUAAAAAAAUACAAAACCCUCGGGCCACAGGCCCGUCGACUCCCCACCCCCCCUUCGCUCGACCUCCCACCCUCACUCGGGCCCUUCCCCGCUGGAUUUGCUCCCACCGGCAUGAGGGCCCUUUCUCCUCGGCCUGACGCCCGAACAACCAGCAAGGCUGGAGUUGCUCUUAGGAGGGGAGUAAGUUGGGGAAAAAGUAGAGGGAGUAAAGUGGAAUUUCCCCUCCACUGCUGCGAAUGACACCACGCAUUUGGCACAACUUUUAACUUGCCGUUGAAUUAAAAAUUGGAUCUUUUCCUUGUGUGGGGGAAGAAGAAGAAACAAGGAAAGGAGGCCAAAGCAGCCGAAGAUGGCGUUGCAGACGGGGGUUUCCGGCUCCAAGGUUCUCAUCCUCGUCGGAGCAGGUCAGGAUUAUUGAAUGUUGUUCCUAUUGUACCCUUUUUACUUUGUUUUCUUUCCAGUUUGAUCUAAAUUCUAGAAAUUUGAUUGAUCAGAAACAAAAUUCUGAAACUUUGAAGGAUAUAACCGUAUUGAAACUGAAAUUGCACAGAUAGCAAGUAAAUUUGGGUACAAAUAGCAAUUAGUUGGUGAACUGAGUGAUAAGUAGUGCGGACUGUCUUUUGGCUGCUAUGGCUGCUGGACACAGAUUCAGGGUUUAACCUAUUUUUCAUUCUUCUGGGCGUGUAGAUGUUUGUUUAUUUUUGCUAUAAACUGUUGUAAUCUAAUGGGAUUGGGAUUCGAACUUGGUGCAAGGGGGCGGGCACGCCUCCUUGCCCAGCUGGCCUAACUCCGCGUCUGCUUUUCUAGGGGUGUAGAUUACUAAGUGGAUUCUUGUUACUUUCAUAAGUAAUGAUCCUAGUGCUUCAAAAGUAUAAUUCCUUUCUAUUUUAAUGAGAAUUUUUAGUAGGAAAGGACGGAAAAACAGAAUAGAACACGAACGGUUUACAAAACACAGUUUGUAUAUAGUUCUUUGUACCUUUCCAUCUAUUACUAUUUUCCUCUAACUAGUAAAUAUUUUGCGAUUCAGGCUUGACCAGUUCGAUAGUUUUGAGGAGCGGGCGAUUGUCUGAACUUAUUGCACAGCUUCAGGAUAUACUGAAGGGUGUAAAUGAAGCUGAUAUCUUGCCUGAGAAGUUUGAUAGUGCAAUUAUCAGAGCUCAGGUAUUGCAGCUUGAAUUCAAUUAGGUUUUUAUACUUAAAACAGAUUCAAAGUUUGCCAGAGAUACCGUGCAUCAUCUCAGAUACUGAUGUUUUGUCAUGGUCAAACGGUGACAAAUGCUACAAGUUUCAUCAAUUUCGGUUUGAAUAGUAUUAAUAUGUGAUGGCUCGAUCAAUAUUGUCAUCUACUUAAAGUCUUAAACCAAAAAUUAUAUUGAAACUUUAUUUAUCUUUCUUUUUGAACUCUAGAAGUUGAGCGUGAAGUGCUAUAAUGCCGGAACUCUUAUGGUUUUGUCCUCUUUUUUCAACUGUUUAGUCCAUAAAUGUGGUUAUAUUAUGCUUGUAGAUACAUAAUUUCUUUGCAGGGUUUGUAUAAGUUAAUACUUACAUGUGUUUUUUACCUUCAGAUUCAACAAUUGGCUCGAGAAAUCAGGGAGUUAACCUCAUCUGGCCCUGUAACCGUCUACAAUGAGAAUUCUUCCUCUAGUGGUAUAAACAGUUCUUCAGAGGCUUUAUAACGGUUUUGUGAUUUUCAUAGAUUAAAGUUUCUAUGAAUUGUUCAGAAACCACUUUGCACAUUUAUUCUCUGCCUGGGAAUGAUCGGGACUUUAUAUCGAUAGAGAUGUUCACAUAUUUCAUGUCACAGCAGGGAGUUAUGCUUCAUAUUUAGUUCCAGCUGCUGCAAUUGGUGCAAUGGGCUAUUGUUACAUGUGGUGGAAGGUACCUCUCCAAAAAUUUGUCGUGGCAAUCACAAACACAUUCUAUUUAGUUCUGCACUUGUAAGGAUUUGUAUCAUUGCUGAUCUACGGGUAUGUCUGUGAUAUCGUGCAGGGCUGGUCAUUUUCUGAUGUAAUGUUUGUAACAAGGCAUAAUAUGGCAAAUGCUGUUGCAACCGUGUCCAAACAAUUAGAGAAUGUGCAUGAAACGUUGGCGGUAAGUCAGAUGUGUUGGCCAUGGUGUGGUUGGCUUUUCCAGAUGGUAAUCCUCAAAAGGGUCUGCAGCACGCUGAUGUCUCGACUGUCAUUUUGCAGUGUACAAAAAGGCAUCUGUCGAAGAAGCUGGAAAACUUGGAUUGGAAGGUGGAGGAGCAGAAGGAAAUAACUCAGCUUAUCGCAAAUGAUGUAUGAAACAUUAUAUUUACGUACUUUCUUUUCAAUGAUGUAUUUACAUACUCCGAUGUAAAUAAGUACUCACUAUGAUCGUAUCCAUUUUCCAUUUCAUUUGAAUGCAGGUGAAUGAGGUGAAAACAAACCUUUCUCAAAUUGGGUUUGAUGUAGAAAUGAUUCAUCAGAUGGUGUCUGGGUUGGUGAGUUGAUAUAUUUUCUUUAAUAUGUUCUUUUAUGUUGCUCAGAAAUGCUUUAAGCUUAUCAGAGUACUUAUGUUGUAUUUGUUAAUUGGCUCAACAGGAAGAGAAGGUCGACCUUAUUGAGAGCAAACAGGUUAUAUUUCUGGUUAUGCUACGACUUUGGAAAUCUUCUGCAUUUUUCUAUUUUCUUUUCGUCUCUGUAGUCAUUGAUUUGACCCUUUUGUUUUCAAUACAGGAUGCAACCAACUCAGGUCUAUUGUAUCUAUGCCAAGUAGCAGAUGGCGUCAAAGGUCAGCUGGAUACUAAACCCUUACAGGUCAGGAUAUUUUCUUUUUGUUCUUUAGAAAACUGAUUACUAAAUGAGCUAGGGGAUAUAUCUAGUUAAUCGAUGAAAUGUGCUUACUGCACGUCAACAUUGUCAAGGACCCAUCGUCCUCCUCGAUCAGUUACUAAGUUAUCUUAGUAGUUGUAUAUCUGCAGAAUGUCUCAGCUAAGCUAGGAAAGCAUUCACCAAUGGCAAUAGAGGAUAAAUCACCCAAGGUAGAUUGACCCUCAUUUUCUUAUGUUUUCCACAUUACGCUUUUUUAAUAUUUGGUUGUAACAUGUCCAAACUUCGAAAAAUACUUUAGGGCCUUCAAUUCUUUGCUGACAAUGAAGAACAGAGCACAACGGAGAAAUCAAUGACAAAAAAGAAUGAUCCCAACAUCUUCCCUGGAGAAAAAGUUCCAGCAAUAAAAACAAGAAUACACCGGUCAUAUCCAGUUGGGAUUUCUUUGACCCGGGACAAAAUGGGCUCGGGUAUAUGAUUUUUUUGUUUGUUUUCUUUUUGGGUUUGUUUUCAUCCCAAGUGAUUUAUUUCAUGAAGGGCCGCCUUCGCAAUUCAUAUUUCAUAUUGAUUCUUGCUGUAACUUCUGACUUUUUGUUCUCUGCUUAAGGAGAAUUACAGGGAGUGCAAUUUGUGGUUGUCAUACAUGUAUAAAAUAAAGUUGAUUAGUCUUGUAAUUGUGAUGGCAUUUGUUCAAUUUACUGCAUCAAUGUGUUUUAGAAACAUCCGAGUACUAUAUGCCACAUUUGUCGGAGUUAAAACAGAAGCCUCAGUCAGUCCCCCGAAUCUAUGAUCGGGCUUGAGCUCAUGGCCGGGAGCUCAAGGUCCGGCGCAGAUCAGCUCAUGGCCGAGAGCUCAUAGCUCUGAUCGGACUUGAAACUAACGUAAAAGGUUCAAGAUUCACAGCGUCAACUCGAAAUAAACUCCGAUAGUGUACAAGUGUAAUCUCCAGAGAAUUUGAGAUUGGAACAUCAAACAUGCAUAAAACUUGGGCGUAGUGUUGCAAAAAAUUCACAGCAUUUUGUUAAUGGCAAAAUCUCGAUGGAAGGACAUGACCAAGUAAAGGCGAAGAAAGAAAGUUGAGUGAUCCAACUCAGUUUCCAGGGACAUGGAAGGGUAUUAAGAAAUGAAAUAUAGAAAUUCUGGUUUGAAAAGGGGACGAGUACGUGAUCAAUUUUUAAGAGUUUUUAUUAAACCAUCAUUUCCACUUUAACGAUAAUAUUGACAAAUUUUUCAAAAAAAAAAAAAAAAGUAAUGACAAAAAAAAUAAAAAUGAAGUCAUUGACAUAUACUUGAAGGAAUGGCACUUGAAAUUAAAAAUGAAGAAGCAUUCAAAGUCAUCGAACUCCACAGUUUUGAAGGACACACUUUUCAAAGAUGGAAGGGUCAUUGUAUUAAAAUCUUUGCCCUGUAUUAUGCUCACAUACUCCAAAUUUUAACAGGUCGAAGAUUUUGCAUCACCAACAGUAUGCAAGAACAAGGAGAGGUAGCCAUUUAUUCCGUUCUUCAAAAUUUUCUUUAGGGCCCUAGGCGGUUGCCUUGCUCGCCCUAGGUCAGGACGGCGCUAUUAAUCUUUGGAAGGCUGGUAUCCAACUGUUUGACGCCUCCCCAAGUUGCAAAAUUUGACCACUUAUCUACCAUAGUUGCGUCUCCAUCAAAGUACCUCACGCAAAGAAUGAAUUUGUGCGCAAGAUGUGCUCAUUUUUCUUGCGGAAUUAACAGUGAAUCGCAUCCCCAAAUAAUUAUUCUCUACAUGAGAAUGUCGUCAAAGUAUUAUGAUGGUCGAAUAUCUUCAGGAAGUGUCAUCCAAGGCAAGAGAGCAGGUUAAUGUCAACAUAUACAUAAACUAAUAAACUGAUCGAAAGUAUCUAUAUAACAAAAAAUAACAAGUAGAAGACAUAAAAUUCAUAGGCUAAAACUUUGUUCAUAGACAAUCUCUGCACUCAAUGAAAAAAGUUCUGCAGUAUGACGUUGGCUCAACUCCUACUGUGGUAUCUCAUUGCUCACGGCUCAUACCAUAUCUGUGAAAUAUUAACGUUAAUACUAGCUCCACCUGUUCCAGCGACAUACUACUACGGGUAAUUCUAACUCUGCCGAAGGAGCCAUCCAGUGCACGGAGUUCCUCAACUCGGGAAGUUCUCUCUUUGUUGGAGAUAUCCUGGUGAGAUGACCUUCAGAUGCUUGAGAUUCGGCAAUGGUGGAGAGCAUAUCUUUCUAAAUUUCUUUGGAAAGAAGAGAUCCUAAACCAUGCACACAAACAAAAAUUUGAGAACGGAAUGAUUCAUUGUAGAACUUGGAAUAUGUUAGCAAAUACAAAAAUUCGAAAGUGAUCAAACCCAUCAAGCAUGCAUAAAUAGAUACAUGUUAUAUUUAUAUACCGUAGCAUCAUGAACUUUCAGUGUAAUUUUUCUGGAGCAGUCAAAACUUUCAAGAUAAUCUCGUAGAGAAGAAAGGUGGUCCAAUGAGCAGUUGUGGGUAAUUCAAUGUCUGGAAGUGUGAUGCUAGCCUCCCAUAACUUUGCAGCCCAAGCGCUAGCCUUCAAAAAACCACUGAAUGAUAAAGAAAUAUUUGGGAUAAUGAUUGUGGCCUCCACAUUAUCUUGGCCUGCCCAUAUUACAAAGUUUCUCAGGUGCUUAGCCUCUCUGAGAGUGACGUGCUUCGCUGUGCACCUUUGAUCCGAAGUACUUGAAACAAAUUUAAAAGAUUCCAGAUUCUUAGCAGCAACUUCAUUCUCCUCACAAGUGCAGAGUAUAAUUUUCAAGGAUUUGAGACUGGACCUUGAAACAGAAUAGUCCCGCAAGUUACAUGACGUUAAUGACAAGUACUCGAUGGAAGGGCACUUGAAGUUAUGUUUGAAGAAAUCAGUGAAGUUAUCCAAUUCUACUUUUUUCAUGGACAAACUUUUCAAGGAUGGAAGGGUUAUAUCAACAGAAUAUCUCCACUGACGAUUUAUUUCCACAUACUCCAAAUUUAAACUAGUUAGAGAUUUUGCAGCAUUACCAAUGGUUUCUAAAGAUAAAGAGAAGAACUUAUCUGGUAUGUGGCAGAAAUACUUCGUGUUUGGUUUGCAUUCUACCUUGUCCUCCCAGUUUUCCUUUGGAAGGCUGAUAUCCAACUCGUUGACACCUCUCUCAAUUGCAAAGUUUAACCACUUACAUACAAUAGUUGCGUCUCCAUCGAAGUACCUCAUGUGAAGCUUGAAUUUGUAUAAGAGCUGCUUGUCAUUCUCACGGAAUUGAUCUAAAUACCUGUCCCAAUCUUUGAUGAAGUUUCUUGGACGUUGAUCAUCAAAGUUAUGAUGAACGUGGCCCUCAUUAAAAUCUAGUACAAAAACUGAAGACCUAAGGCCUUCCCAUUGCUUGGAAAGAAUGCUCAUCUGGGCCGCGGGUGUAGUGGGAAGGAGUGGGAGGAUUCGGUUGAUAACAGUCUGGUACAUGACGUCGCAGCAUCAGUUCGGCAUCCUUCAUGUUUGGGUCAUCUUUAUUUUCCUUCAUGUCGUCUUGCUUUCUGAUCUUCUGUGUGGGUUCUUUCGGAUGUCGCCUUACACUUUUUGCUUUGCUGGAUUUUGUGAAUGUCAAGAGAAGAAAGGAGGUUUGUAAAUAAAGUAGUAGGAAACCUACCUUGAAGUUCAAGCAAUUGGAGACUAGGGUUUUUUCCGGGCCUAAAUCGAUACCCUUAAGCCCACAUAUACCUGUAUGAUUAAAGCAGUGUGAAUGCCCACUAAAAAAGCAGUGUGAAUGAAGACUUUGAAAGAUGAUUAAAAUUUAUUAUUCACUUGAUAACUUUUGUUUCCAUUAAUAUAUUAAAAUAACUCAUAUGAUGGAUUUGUUAGAUCUUGACUUUUGCCUAUAAAAAUUGAAAAAUAAAGGAAAAAAGGGAGAUGAGAAACAUACGAAAGAAAAGAAAAAAAAAAGGAAGGAAAAGAGAGAAAAAAAGAAAAAAAGUACUAUUGCUGCCCUAAAAACAUAGGCACACUCGUCAAACCUCGUAAAUGUUGUGUUUUAUCAACUUUAUUCUACGCACACAAAUCCUUAUUUUCACAACCAGUUGGUAUUAUACGUUGAGUGUGAUUGUGAGAAUUAAAAGUAGAAAUUUUGUAAAAAUCCUAUAGGCAUCGCCCUCCCUAUUCCUCUAAGCUUGGGUCAAAUUAAUUUUACAUCGACCCGGCCCAACUUGAACCCGCUUGACCUUUCGGGGUACAAAUACGAGCUGCGUGCUAGGGCUUUCGAUUCGAUUUCCAGAAGCUCGUUUUUAUCAGAUUGUGCUCCUCCGUCGAACCCUCCUUCAAGUUUCGCCUUUUCGCAAACCAGAGGUAUUCUCAUCCCUAUCUUUUUCGUCUUCUGAAAUUGUUAUCGAUUCUAGGGUUUCGUAGUUUUCCUGUAAAUCGCUAUAGCGGGCUGUGCGUUGAAUUUUUUUGGGAGAUCUCAUCUAAUUACAUAUGGGUUUUUUGAAUUUCAGAGAAUUUGUUCUUCCUGAGGUUUCUUUUUUAUUGGAAUUUUUUGUUAAUUUUAUUGGUAUGAUUGUUUUUCCCCUAAUUUUGAUGAAUUUUAUUUCUUGAAGUUAAAUUUAUGUUUGAAUGAUAAAAUUUUGAAUCUUUUUUUCUUCGAAAUCGAAAUUAACUGUUGUUUGAGUUAAGCUGAACGGACCCAGAAUCUGUUUUUGUUGGAAUUUAAUUUCUAAUUCAUUGAAAAAAAAAAUUUUGAUAACCUAUAUUUUUAGGGUUUUUUUUUUUUAAGGAAAACUAACAAAAAAAAAAUUCUCUUUUAACGAAAAGCCUUUGUUAAAGGGAUAGUGAAUACGGCCACUUAAAAGUAAAACUAUGGUAUUUCGUUAAAAGUAAACAGUACCGAAAGUGUUUUACUUUUUUUUUUUUCAUUGGUAAUUUGAGUUUAUAUGCUUUAUUGUACGUUUUUGUCCGAUGAAAAUAUGUUUUCGUGAACUUUGAGGGUUGUGAUCCAGUUUUGGUGUUUGUUGAAUAAUUUAUCAAGUUAUGGAAGUGGUUGAUAUUCAUGUUUGAGUACCUGAUUGUACUUUGGUUGCAGAAACAGAACUUGUAAUCAUGCCGAAGAACAAGGGUAAGGGAGGAAAGAACAGGAAGAGAGGUAAGAAUGAAGCUGAUGACGAAAAGCGUGAGCUUGUGUUUAAGGAAGAUGGACAGGAGUAUGCCCAAGUGCUCCGAAUGCUUGGUAACGGUCGGUGUGAAGCCAUGUGCAUUGAUGGGACCAAGCGACUUUGUCACAUCCGUGGUAAGAUGCACAAGAAGGUUUGGAUUGCAGCUGGUGAUAUCAUUCUUGUCGGCCUUCGUGACUAUCAGGACGACAAAGCUGAUGUGAUCCUCAAGUACAUGCCUGAUGAGGCUAGGCUCCUGAAGGCAUAUGGAGAGCUUCCAGAGAAUACACGUCUCAACGAGGGUAUUGCUGGGGGUAUUGAUGAUGAAGAAACCGAAGGUGGUGUUGACGACUAUAUUGAGUUUGAGGAUGAAGAUAUCGACAAGAUAUAGGCUUUCAGGUUAAAACUCUAUUUUGAUGUUAUGUUUUUACCGUUACCGAUUGGCAGUUACUUGUCAUUAGUAUAAGUCAAACUUGGAUUGGCAGUUGGCUCUGUAUGGUUCUGUAUUUCCAGAUGGGGAAUUGGUCAUGUUCCAUGUAACAUCUGUUAUUACUAAUACAUUUGAUAUGUUUGUCUUCUUUUUCGAAUAACUAGUUUCAUCACGGAGGUUCUUCCCUUUUACUCUGUUUACCUUGUUCUGUGUUUCGUUUGUAACAGCGUCGUUGACAACGUUUUGCCUAAUUAGUCGUGUGUUUACAUUCGUUGGUCUCUUCGGAGAAGAUGAGGUUCCUCGAGUUGCAUGUUUAAACUCACUCAGGUAUCAAGCAUCAGAUUAUAUAUAAGAUAUCAGAUUAUUUACUUGACAGAGAUUCUACAGGGAAAUCUGUGUUCAUUAGAAUGCAGUAUUUCUGCACUUCCUUCUCCCCGUUUGCUUUUCGUUGCGCUCUUCAUCUCUUUUGGGUUCCCUCGAACAAUCCUUCUUGCUCACCUGUAUCAAUGUUGAAGCCAGUCAUUGAAUUGAACGCCGGAACUUAGUAAUUUUGUUCUUCAAAUAUCGAUCCUCUUUUGACAAGCUCAGUUCGGAUCAUAGCUUAAAUGGGACAGAUCCUUACCUUGGGAUACUCUUUCCCACACUCGUAGCUUGGCAUCGAUUUUCGCCUUUAUAGGCUUCUCGUAGCCUUGAAUCUGUUCUUAGUUGGACUUAAACCAUCCUUCUCUUCUGCUGGUACUGGAAAGUUAUCAAAUAGGACACCGACUUCAUUAGAUCCGCAGCUCUCUUUUUCUUCACCUGCAACGUCGAAGAAUCUCUUUCCGAUGACAAAUCGUUGGCUGCUGUGAAUUGGUUCAACGUGGUUGCUUAUAUGACUUUCUGCGGGGGAGAUUUCAGCAGGGCGGGUUGCCAUCCACCGUUCUAGCCAGCUCCAACCCAUGUUCUGUUCUGUGCCAUCAGAUGUGGUGUGCCUUUUCUUUGAGCAGAUCCUUAGCUUCAAACAAAUAAUACUAAGUUAAUUAGUUUCCAAAACCGUAGGAGGAGUCUUAGAACCUCUUUUGAUGUAGUCGGUUAUUUAUCACACACACACACACUCUCUCUCUUAAUCACCGGUUGCACAAUAGAAUCCCAACUCUUUUAGGAAUGAAUUUCAGUAUCUGUUGUGAAAGGAGUUCGAAGUUUCCUUGGUAAUGUGGGCUUCUAUCGAAGAUUUAUCAAGGAUUUCUCGAAAAUAACCAAGCCUCUUAGUGAUCUUCUUCAGAAAGAUGUGUGUUUGAGUUCGAUUCUGAAUGCUUGUCAACUUUUAAUACCUUGAAGACUCUACUUACUUCAGCCCCUAUUCUGACAGCACCUGAUUGGAGCCUUCCAUUUGAACUGAUGUGUGAUGCAAGCGAUUAUGCCUUAGGAGCUGUUUUAGGGCAGCGAAAGGACAAACUUCCGCAUGUUCUUUACUACGCAAGCCGCAUUUUAAACAACGCAUAGCUCAAUUAUUCCACCACAGAAAAGGAGAUGCUUGCUGUAGUAUUUGCACUUGACAACUUUCAAUCCUAUCUUAUUUGUUCGAAGGUUAUUGUAUACACAGAUCAUGCAGCCUUGAGGUACUUGAUGUCUAAAAAGGAUGUAAAACCAAGGCUAAUGAGAUGGGUUCUUCUUCUUCAAGAGUUUGAUCUUGAGAUUAAAGACCAAAAUGGGUCCGAAAAUGUGGUGGCAAACCACCUGUCAAGGCUUAUUCAAGAUGGUGAGGUAGAAUCAACUGUACCGCUUAAUGAAGCUUUUCCAGAUGAACACUUGUUUGCUGCCCAACAUGGAGAAGUCCCAUGGUUUGCUGAUUUCGUAAAUUAUUUGGCUAGUGGUGUGAUUCCAAACGAUUUUAGUUUUCAACAAAAGAAGAAAUUUCUCUCCAUGGUCAAGCACUAUUUUUGGGAUGAUCCGUACUUGUAUAAACAUUGUCCAAAUCAAGUGAUUCACAGAUGUGUACCCGAAGAUGAGCAAAUCAGCAUUCUCAAUCAUUGCCACUCUCUUGCGUGUGUGGGGGACAUUUCAGUGCCUAAAAAACAGGAGCAAGGGUUCUCCAAUUUGGGUUUUUUUGGCCAUCUUUAUUCAAGGAUUCACAUGUUUUUGUUGCCUCUUGUGAUCGCUGUCAAAUGACUGAAAAUAUUUCUCGUAGAAAUCAGAUGCCUCUUAAUAAUAUUCUAGAAGUUGAACUCUUCGAUGUGUUGGGAAUUGAUUUUAUGGGGCCAUUUCCUGCUUCUUUCUUGAACAAGUAUAUAUUGGUAGCAGUUGAUUAUGUGUCGAAAUGGGUGGAAGCUGUUACCGUUCCUACAAAUGAUGCUCGAGUUGUUCUCCAAUUUUUGAAGGCAAAUAUAUUCACCCGCUUUGGGACCCCUCGUGCUAUUAUUAGUGGCGGAGGAACUCACUUUUGUAAUAAGCAAUUUGAAGCUCUCUUGGCAAAGUAUGGAAUCACACAUAAGGUUGCUACACCUUAUCACCCUCAAACAAGCGGACAAGUGUAAAUUUCAAAUCGGGAAAUCAAGCAGAUUAUGGAGAAGACUGUGAGUGCUUCGAGAAAAGAUUGGUCGAAGAAGUUAGACGAUGCUUUAUGGGCAUAUCGCACUGCUUUCAAAACUCCAAUUGGCAUGUCUCAUAUCGGCUUGUUUUUUGUAAAGCAUGUCACUUGCCGGUUGAGCUGGAACACAAGGCUUUCUGGGAAAUCAAGACAUUGAAUUUUGACAUGGAAGCAACUGGGAAGAAAAGAUUGUUGCAACUUAACGAGAUGGAAGAAUUCCAAAACGAUGCAUAUGAAAAUGCCAAGAUCUAUAAAGAAAGAACUAAGAAGUGGCAUGAUCAGAACAUUCUACGAAAAUAAUUUUAUGUCGGACAGAAGAUGUUGCUGUACAAUUCCAGAUUAAAGUUGUUUCUUGGAAAGCUUCGUUCUCGGUGAUAUGGUCAUUUCGUGGUAGUGCAAAUUUAUCCAUAUGGCAUGGUGGAAAUUCAGAAUUUGGAGUCGAGAAGCAUAUUCAAGGUUAAUGGUCAAAGAUUGAAGCCUUAUGUGGAAACAAAUUUUGAUACCAUGAAGACGGUGACCUCGCUUCGAGAUCCAGCAUAAACAUCAUAUGGUUCGGCUGAAGACUAUAAAUUUAGCGCUCUAUAGGAGGCAACCCAUGCUUUUAUCAUCCUUUUUAUUUGUUUUAUUUAAUUCAGUUUUGAUGUUUGUUUUCUGCCUUCUUUGUUCGGCUACUUGCUGAUAGAUUUCUGUUGGUGUAGGGACGUCUAGCUGCCACAUCAUAAUGAUUGAAACCAUGAAUGUUUAAGUUUGGGGGUGGCUACUGCAUUGAACACCAUGGCUGCCAUGUGAAGCAUAAACCAGGGGAGUUUCUCUGUCCAAGUGAUAUUACUCAUUCAUCUUCCCUUUCUUCUUUUUAAGUACCUUAUUUCUAGACAUUGAGGACAAUGUCUCAUCCAAGUUUGGGGGUAGGAGUGAGAUUUUUAAGUCCAGGUAUCAGAAAUUUGUUUAGUGUGAGUGUUUCAUUUGAAAUAAGCAUGUUGUUUUUAACUGCCUGGAUCCUCCCUUUUUAAUUAUUUACUUUUAGUUAGUAUUUUGGUUGAAAAAAAAAAACUAAAACAAAUCAGAAGCAUUCAGUUUCAAAAAAAAAAAAUAUUGUUUUUAUUUCUUGUUUUCAGUGAGAUUUUUGUUAGUUUCCCGACCCAAUGAUGAAAUUAAAUUGAGUUUGAACCAUGGUUAUUGAGAAAGUCGUAAGCAUGUUUUAAGUGAAUCUCUUUAUUCUUUGUUAGCUUUGCUUUGUACAUGUUCGAUCAUCCUUGGAAAACUGAAUGCACAUAGCCUUGUUGAUGUAAUACUAAAGCAUGGUUUAACACUUCAUAUGUGAAUAUAGUGACUUAAUGUAAUCCUUGUGAGCUUUUGAGCCUAUUCUAUGGUUGAACUAUCAUGCAUCAAUCACAUUUAUUCUCGUGCGUAUGAUCUCAUUGUUACAUGUAUCUCUAGAACUUGCUUUAUACCUCUCGAAUCAUUCAUCAAUUCAUGCAAUAACUUGGAAGUGAUAUAGGCUAUUUUUGGAUCGUUUGAGCCUUUCAUGCCUACCUUAUAUGCUAUCUUUAUCUUUAGUAGCCCGUUGAGCCUUUAACUAAGCCAUUUCUUUGCUAGCCACAUCUCUUUACCAUGCUUCAAUAUUGGAGUUGAGCUCAUACACAGAAAUCGAUCCCUUAUUGUUUUGAGAAAGUAUUACAAAGGUUGUGCUUUUGGGGUUUUGUUUAUAUAGAAAAAGUGGAUGGAGCAUGUGUAUUACAAUGAAAUGUGAAUUUGAGGGGUGAUGUAGCUUUGCAGAUUUGAGCAUGAUUAAAAAAAAAAGAGGGAAACGGUUAAAAAUCCGCAGGGUACUGUCAUUAGUUGUGGUGGUAUGAGUUUCAACAUUAAAAAAAAUUAAAAAGAAAACAACAAGAAAAAAAAGAGUGCUGAGAUGUUGAAAAUGUGUUUUGCACAAGCUUACUUCUAAUCUUAAGUGUCAAUGUUAUCAAAAGUAAAGCUUGAGAAUGCAGUUGUAUGUUUUAGAGGACUAAUCUUUGGAUGCAAAAUAUAAAUUUUCAUUUGAAGUUGAGUAGGGGAGCAGCAAGUGCUACGGGUAUGUUGUUUGCUUUCAAUUUGAGUGGGUGUGAUAUUGGUGUUGGAAAACUACUAAUGUGUACUUUCUCAAAAAUUUUGGUUUCCAUAUCCUUUCUUUCAUUAGCCUAUCACCCAUAGCCCCAUUACAACCCAACUAGAGUCCUAUAGAUUCAAGUAAUUACAUGAUAUUAAUAGCGAGGUAGGUUGACAAACAAGCAUUUGGCGGCAUGUUUGAUUAAGAUCACUUGAGUGAAACACAGUACCCAGAAAUAUGAGAAUGAAUGUAUGCCCGGUGAGGAUGUUACUUGUUUGCAUAUGAUGAUUUUAAGAAGCUUAGAAUUGCAUUGGCAUGGUUAUCGCACACACUACACUUCAAGGAUGAUUGAAAGGUUUUUGCUAAGAAUUGGAAUGUGGUUGAUUCACUUGCUUUGUGCUUACUAUGGAUUUGAUUAUGAUGUAUCUUGAAAAGAAAAAAAAAAUUCGAUGAGGCUCACGUAGAGGGAAACUAACGCUUUCCAUGCUAUUACUUUUUCAUGAAUUUCUUUUGUUUGCUCGAGGACAAGCAAGAUGUAAGUUUGGGGGUAUUUGAUGAGCGCAUAUUUUACUACUUAUUUUAUUCUGAAAGCUACAUUUUCUUGUGUCAUGUUUGUUCUAAAUGAAUGAAAUUACAUGGUUUUGAGAAAAAUAUGAAUUCAAUCCUUUUAAGUUCAAUUCAAGUAAAGUAGCUGGAAUUUGGUUUUGUUUAGUAAGUGGAUUGAGUUGAAGUGUGUAUGUCAUAUUUUAUUUUUUUAAGUCAAAAUUGGUCUUAAGUGAUAUUCAAGAGUUGGGAAAAUUUUAAUUACAUUUUUGGCUCAUCCAAAUCUUAUGCAAAUCUUUCCUUUAUAAAUUAUACAACAACUUAUUUGGUUGAAUUUUUCUGUAGGGAUCAUAUUGCUUUACAAGUCUAAAAGGAGCGUUGACUUGUCAACUAGACCAUUCACUUGCGCGUGACUUCUUACCAAUUGCAUGGAAAAGAGUUUUUAUUGUUUUUUGUUCCAAAAGAAAGGGAAGGCUGCGUUCACCUCUCGCAUUCUACAUGAGUAGCCAACCAAUUCCAUUUCAAGAAAAAGAAAAGAAAAUGAUAGUAUUCAAUUCCACACACCACCAGAGAUAGUACUUCACACACACUAAAUUUUCA
rnacentral:lncRNA from 1 species